rnacentral:lncRNA from 1 species
CUUUUACUCUGAUACCUUGAAAUGAGAAAUUUGGAGGUUUUCCACACCAAGCUUCUUGAGAUUACCGCGCUUUCUCGUAGCGAAGAACUUUCCCCAGUUGUAUGCUCUAUACUUUGGUUUUUCCCCCUUCGUCAGCUCCUCCAAGGGCUGCACCCAAAGAUGGUGCGCGGGAUUGAAAAAGAACGGAAUCGAGAACCUUUCCCUCUCUGAAUUCAGUAUCACUCUGUGCUCCACACUCUCAUAAGUUUCGUUGCUCCAAACCUGGUUUAAUAUCAGUAUAAUUAGCCAAAUAGGUGCAAAAUUCGGUGAGCGAAAUAACUGAUAAGCAGGUGCUUAUAAUUCAAAGUUCUUGGGUGGUACCUGAAUUAUAUCCCCAACAUUGAUGAUUUAAGCAUCUGGGGUGGGCUUCACUCGAACCCAUUCUCCGUCGGUUUUUCGCUUUACUUCCAACCCUCCGACAUCAUCCUGGGCAAGGAUGGUUAAGGCUCCGGCAUCCUUGUGGUGACCAACGCCCAGAGCUAGGUGAGGGACAGGGCAAGGUGGGUAGUGAUUGAAGCGGACGAAGCUCGUUGAUUCUUCAAAGAAAAGAUUGAAUCUGUUUUCUGGCAAACCUAAGCUCAGAGAGAUGAGUCCCAUCAGCUUGAAAGCUAGUUUUUCCGUUUCUCUCGCAUAUUCUUCACAGACCUCCCUGUAUAAAUCAGUUCAAUUAGAACAAAACAAACUAAGUAAUUUACUGUAGUGACUGUGCCUUAGCUGGUGAAAUUUGUACCUUAAUUCAGGAGGGUACUGAGGCCACCGAUUGGUCAGCUCUAUGAGCUCCUUGUCCUCAGGAUCAUCCGAAGCAGGGCCGAAGGCGGGGGUUCUCACCACGAAAUCAAAGACUUCUUUCCAGUCCCUAACGUUCUUGGUAUGCUCAGUAUCAAAGUACCCAAAAGGAUUCACCUCAUCUCUACUCACCUUCCUCUUCUCCUCCACUGGCAGAGCGAAGAACGUCCUCGCGGCAUCCCAAAUUUUCCGGCGAGACUCCAAGGGCACCCCAUGGUUGAUGACUUGAAAAAAGCCCCAGUUCUUGCAUGCAUCAGCUAUUUGAGAAACAUGAUUGGAAGCAUUGGCGGAAGAGAGAUCAAUGAGGGGGAUGCCUUCAGCUUCGAUAACAGCGAGCUUAGGCCUAUGUUGGGCGUCUUGGAUGAAGGCUGGAUUGACCUCUCCCAUGGCUGUGGUAGUGAUUAGAACUUAGAAAUGGCAAUUAUGCUCUGGUAGCUGCAGGUGAAGAUGGUUACAGGACUUGGGCAACUCGGCAGGUGGUUUUUAUAGCAUAAUAGGGGUGUUGGUUUAAUACCUUGAACCUGGACAUAAUAUGGGUUACGUGUUAAGUUUUAGUUCGGGGUGUGAGCUCAUGGGUUGCGCAUAUGUUAAUGAGAUUUGGUCAAGUGAUACCUAGCUAUUUCCACGGCACCCUCAAUAUUCAAAUAUUUCAUCCGUACUCGAUUUGGAAGGUUGAUUAGUAAAUCUGAUGGUGUAAUGUCUAUUUUUGAAUUCAAUGCUAUAUAUUUAACGGUGAAGAUAAGAAAAAUAGAAGAGUUGAUAACGUUGAAGAAAAAAUGCCAAAGUUUUAAGAAGGUAGAGUUUUGAUGAGAAAUAGGUAAAAUUAAAAUUGCAUUAUAAUAAUAUAAAUUAAUUAAAUCGGUAAUCACCCAUUUAAUCUCAUUCUUAUCCACAAUUGUUGAUAGUUGAUCCUACAAAAUUCUAAAAAAAUCUUCCACAAAGACAAAUCACAAGAUGUUCAAUAACAUAUAUGCUUUUGCACCAAAAAUUGUAUAAGGGAAAAAAAAAUGAUGCACAAAAAAAAAAAAAAAAAAAUUCUAUAUCUAAUAUUAUUUCAUAGGAAAACUAACUAUAAUAAAUUUUAAAAGCAAAGAGCGUUUUACCAUAUCUAAAUAAUAGAUUAUUAAAUUCUUUAUUUUUCAAUUGGAUAUUUUUUUUUAAAUUAGAAACAUCUAUAUAAAAAUAAAAAUCACUUUAAAAAAAUUUUAAAUUUAAGAUAAUAAAUUUUUUAUAAUAUUUUAAUUCUUUUAAAUAAUUUUUAAAAUUAUUAUUUUUUCAAUAUAAAAUUUUAAGAGUUUUUGUAUUUUAUAUAUAAGUUACUAAUAUUCUCUUAUUUUAAACAUAGAAAAUAAAAAAUGUAACCAAAUGAAUUAGAAAAUAAAAAAGUUGAAUAAAAAUAGUCUAACCAUCUUAAACCUAAUAAUGUUUGACAGAAAACACUUAAAUAUACCUUGUAAUUUUCCUCACUGGUCAGCUCCUCCGAAGGCUUCACAUUCACAUGGUGCGCCAGUAAGAAGAAGAAUGGAAUCGAAACCCUUUCCUUCUUGUGUCGACCCACACUGAGAGCGAGCUCCAGCCACGAGCACGAUGGAUGGUGAUUGAGUCGGAUGAAGCAUUAGCCUUCAAAGAAUUCAUUCAACCGAUCCCCCACCAAGCCUAAGCUUAAGGAGAUGAGUUCCAAGAACUUGUAAGCUAAUUUUUCUAUUUCUCUAAUAUAGUUUUUCCAAAUUUUCCUGAAAAUAAAUCAUUAUAUAAAAUAUAUCAAUACUCAAAAUAAAUUUAAUAAAAUCUUGUCUUGCCUUUAUGUCUCUAGUUGAGUCUGUUUGGCUUCAAGCUGUGCAUUUAUGUCUCCGGUUGAGUUUGUUAGGCUUUGAGUCGCACCUUUACACCUCUAGUUGAAUAUGUUCGACUUUGAGCCAUGCCUUUACGUUUUGAGUUGAGUCUAUUCGGCUUUGAGCCACGCCUUUACAUUUUAGUUGAAUCUGUUCGAUUUCAAGCCGUGCAUUUACAUCUAUAAUUGAGUCUAUUCAGCUUCAAAUUGCAUCUUCACAUUUUUUGUUGAAUCUGUUCAGCUUCAAGCCACUCCUUUAUGUCUCUAAUUAAAUUUGUUUGGCUUUAAGUUUCACCUUUAUGCCUUUAAUUGAGUUUGUUCGGCUUUUAGUUGCGCUUUUACGUUUUGAGUUGAGACUAUUUGGCAUCGAGUUGCAACUUUAUGUUUCAAGUUGAAUUUGUUUAGCUUCAAAUCGUGCCUUUACAUCUCUAGUUGAGUUUGUUCGACUUCAAGUCAUGCCUUUAAGUCUCUAGUUGAGUUUUUUUAGCUUUGAGCUGCGCCUCUACAUCUCUAGUUGAAUUUGUUUGGCUUCGUAUCACAUCUUAUGUUUCGAAUUGAGUUUAUUCGACUUCGAGUUGUGCCUUUAUGUUUCUAGUUGAGUCUAUUCAGCUUCAAGCUGCACCUUUACUUUUUGAAUUGAGUUUGUUCGGCUAUGAGCAAUGCUUUUACAUUUCAAGUUAAGUCUGUUUGGCUUUGAGUUAAGCCUUUACGUCUCUAGUUAAGUCUAUUCAACUUCGAGCCGCAUCUUUCAUUUUUGAGUUGAGUGUGUUUGGCUUUGAACCACACCUCUAUGUUUCAAAUUAAGUCUAUUCAUCUUCAAGUCGCACUUUUAUGUCUUUAGUUAAGUUUGUUCAGCUUCGAGCAAUGCCUUUAGGUUUGAAGUUGAGCCUAUUUGACUUCAAGCCACACCUUUACAUCUCUAGUAGAGUUUGUUUGGCUUCAAGCUAUGCCUUUUUGUUUCGAGUUUAGUCUGUUCAGUUUUGAGCCAUGCCCUUACGUUUCAAGUUAAGCCUAUCCGGCUUCAAGUCGCGUCUUUACAUUUUGAGUUAAGACUAUUCGACUUCAAGCUAUGUCUUUACAUCUUUAGUUGAGUUUGUUCAACUUCAAGCUACGCCUUUACGUUUUGAGUUAAGUCUAUUCGGUUUCAAGUUGUGUCUUUAUGUUUUGAGUUGAGUCUGUUUGGCUUUAAGUCACACUUUUACGUUUUGAGUUGAGUCUCUUCAACUUUGAACUACACCUUUAUAUAUCCAGUUGAGUCUGUUCGAAUUUGAGUCACACCUUUGAGUUUUGAGUUUAGUCUGUUCGGCUUUGAGCCACACUUUUACAUCUCUUGUUGAGUCAUAUUUAGCUUCAUUCUACGCCUUUACAUUUCCAAUUGAGUUUAUUUAGCUUUGAGUUGUGCCUAUGUUUUAAAGUUUGUUCAAUUUCGAGCCACAUCUUUAGCCUUAUUAAGUUUGUUCAAGUUUAGUUGUGCCCUCACCCAUAUCCUUAGUUUUAAGUUUAUUCAGCUUCAAGCCAUGCGUUUGUCCUUGUUAAGUAAGUUCGGCUUCGAGCCACGUCUUAGUUUUGAAGUUGUUUAUCCUUGAGCCACACCUUCCUUUCUUUUUUAGUUCACUUAGGGUUUUCUCCUUCCUCGAGUUUAUUAGUGCAUUCGAGUUCAUUUUUCUUUAAGUUGAUCACUCUUUAUCUUUGUUGUCCUUGAAUUGUUCAUUGUGUCACAAUUCAGUGUUUUUCAUUGCAUAUAUACUCCCCACAUUGUCUAUAUUUUAUCCUGAUGAGUUUCUUUCCCAAUACGUGACCUCGAUCUUUGAGUUUAGCAUGCCAUGUGCUAAGACAAUUUCGAGUGCUCUUUUGUUCUUCAAUGCAAUUCACUUCAUACCAUUCAUCACUCAUGUUUCACUGUUUGUGUUCAUUUCAUUCGUGAUCUACAUCGGAGAGAGACAUAUUUGUUGGCCCUUUACUUUGUCCUAUAAUACAUAUUUUCACAUUUUUUUAUUUUCCUCUUGCCCCAUACUCAUUUUUGGUGCUCGUUUUGGAUCCUUCUUGUUUGAUCAUUCAUGGUCCCUUAUUGGUCCACGUUUACUUGACUCAUUAUUCAUUUUUUAGUCGCAUUUUAGAGGCCAUGUAGGAGGAAUUUUGAGUACAUGCAAGCUUAUUUUUUAGAGACCCUUAGUAGUUGGCUCAUAUGAGGACACGCCUCCUCACACUACUACAAAAAUCAUUUAUGGUGUCACUAUUUAUAGUGACACUUUUAAAAUAAUGACACCAUAUAGCUUAAAAUCCACAAAGGUGACACAUCAUAUAAAAAUUUUCAAUUAGGAUCAAUGAUAUUAAUUUUAGGUUUAUAAUGUCAGUUGCCAAAAAAUGACACCAUAUAAAAUAUUUUUUUUCUAAAUAUUAUAACUCAAUUGGCCCACUUUGAGAAUAAUGAUAGUAUAUAAAAAAAUCAUUGUUUCCACAUACCCACAAUCCAAAAAAAUUUCAUUCCAUAACCCUAACCAAAAUUUUUUUCUACCUCUUCUCACACCCAUAGUUAACACACAACUGUUCUUCUCUGCUUUGUGGACUCUCAGGUAACCCAAAAUCUCUUAGAUCUAUCAUUUUCAUUUAUUUUUUUAUUAAUGUCAAAAUCUUUAUGAACACAAUUGAUUUAUGUUUAUUGAUUUAAUAUAUUUGUAAUAUGGAUUGUGUAAAUAGUGUUUUUUUAUUGAGUUGUAGGAAAGUAAAAACUAGGUUUAACAUUCCACCAUAUCUUCUGGUUCAUUGUUAAACCCAUAAACCCCAAAAUGAAUGAAAAUAAGAAAAAUGAAUUAUUUUUAAAUAUCUUUUAUACUCAAGAUAAUAUAUAAACAUUUUACAAUACAAAAUUUUUUUUUGAUCUUGUAGGAAAUUUCCUUUGAUAGGAUUUUCUGUUUGUUUUCAAGGAAUAUUGUAGUAUAUUGUGAUGAAGAUAUUGAUUGGUGUUAUUUGAAAAAUAAUUUUUUAGAAAAUUAUUCUCAAUAUUAUCAUCUCCCACAAAAUGAAAAAUGAAAUAGUUUUCAUAUCAUAUUGGAGUCGGUUUGGAAUGUUGGAAUUAACAAUGAGAAAUUAAUUUUAUUUUUUAUUUAUUAAUGUAAAUGAAUUGUUUUUUUUUUAAAUUUAAAUAGGAAUGAAAAUUUUUAUAAUUAUAAAAAUGAUCAAAUAUUAUAUUUUGAUUUUUUUUUCUAUUCUUUUACAUGGUAUUAUGGUUAAUAUCUCAUCUUGUUCUAUAUAUAUUUUUUAUAUUCUUAAAAUAUGUUUUUUGCUUUUUGUUUUUACUUUCUUUUCUUAUUGUUUUUAUAUGUGUUGACCAAAAUUUAGAGUAAUUUGAGAUUGGCGAUAAAAUUUUCCUUUCAAGGUUAGAAAAUUUCUAUAAAAUCAUUUUAUUACAUAAUUUUUUCAAUUCCUUCCAUAAAACUCUUCCUUUUUCCUUUUUUAAGAAGAUGUUUGAUAAUUUUCUUUUGAUUUCUAUGAAAUUUCCUUUUAUUGGACUGUUUGUUUAUUUUCUAAGAAUAUUAUAGUAUGUUAUGAUGAGGAUAUUGGUUGGUGAUAUUUGAAAAUUAAUUUUUGAGAAAAUUAUUCUCAAUAUUGUCAUCUGCCACAAAAGGAUUUUAAAAGUAUGUUUUAUUUUUGCCUUCUUUUCUUAUUGUUUUUAUAUGCAUUGACCAAACUUUGGAGUAAUUUGAGAUUGAUGAUGAAAUUUUCCUUUCAAGGCUAGGAAAUUUCUAUAAAAUCCUUUUAUUACAAUUUUUUUUUUUUUCCUAUUCCUUCCAUAAAACUCUUCCUUUUCUUCAUUUUUCUUUUUUGAUGUUUGAUAAUUUAUUGAUCUAAAGAAUAUUAAAAGUAAAAAAUUUAAAAUAUUGAAUAUUUUUUCCUUUGAUGUUGUUAUUUUAUUAUUAUUUUUAUUUGAACAUAUUUUUCAUAUCCAAAUUUUCUAUUAAUUAUUUUACUUUUAAAAAAAAUAUCAAUUGAAGUUAUGACUGAAAAAUCAAUAAUUUUUAUGAAAGGUUCUUUAAUUCUUUCUCAUACUAAUUUUUCUCUUAACAUUUCUUAAUAGUGAAUUAGGUUUUUUUGUUUUAUAUACACAAUUUUCAUGCUUGUUAUAAUAUCAUGUCCUAUCAUAUUAGUAGUUGAAAACAUUUUUAUAUUUUGUUACUAAAAUUUUAUUUUAUAUAAUUUACAUGAAUUUUAAUGGACAUUGUUAUUUCACAAAAUGAACAUUAAAAAAAAUAUUGAAAUUAAGAAAAUCCUUCCAAGAAAUAAAAAAAUAUAAAAAGAAUUGGAUGUUAAAAAUGAUUUUUAAAAGCAUUAUGAAUUAUAAAAAAUAAAUUUAAAAGAUUAGUAUUUUCUAAAAUUUUAGAUUUAUAUUUUGAUUUUGUAGUUUUGAUUUAUUUCAUAUUUUCUUGAAUUGUUUUUAUUUGAGUUCAAAUGUGACUACUUUGUUAUGAGAUUCAUUAAAAGGAUAAUUGUUGAUUCUACAGUUAUUGCAUUAAAGGUUUUACUCAUUUAAUGAAUUGUACAUAGUUUCAUACUUCUAAUUAUUGUGAUAUUAAUGUUAUUUUCAUUUGAUUUUAGUUUGAUGACAAAAAACAUAUUCUCAAGUAGACUUUGAUGAAAUAAGAGGAGAAUGGAUUGCUUUUGUGUUAUAACUAAUCAUGAAUCAUGUUGAUGUAUCGUGAUCAUGCAUGGUGAGUCCCUUAGUUGUUAUAUAAAUUUUCCAUUGGUAUUGUAUAACAUUACUUAUUCUUUAUGAACUAUUUUUAUAUCAAAAUAGGAAAAAGAAAAAAGGAAACAUUAGUACUUAGAUUUGUUUAUUUUUUUAUAACAUCACUAUGGACCCCGCAUUUUCGGCUCGAUGCGUUUCCCACUCGAUGGCGAGCUCGAUUUUUAAUUUUGAAAAAUGAUUUUUAUUCAUUAAAAAUGACUUGGAGUCGCCACUUAUUUUUGUUUUAUUUUUAAAGGGUAAACAAAAUAAGAAAAAAAAACCCUAAGUGUGACUCCUUAUUUUAGAAAAGGCGAUCUACGAAAAAACCGGAUUGGGCUCGGGGGUUAGGUUACUUAUCGGGAAGGUACGGUAAAGACCGUAGCACCCCUCUAAGUCCCUAAAAUCGGGUCUUUACUAAUAGAAUGAAGCUGACGUGGCAGUCAACAAGAAAAUCGAUGAAUAGUCAAAUCAAUCAUGCACAAUAUGAGAAGCAAAACAUGUAUAAAGAAUGAGCGAAAUAUGAAUAGAUGCGUACCUGGACGGCAAUCACGAACGCGCUAUCAUGAAACAUGGUUAGUGAACAAUGAACAGAUAUAAUUAAGCGCAUAUCAAGGAAUAGAGUAAAUCAAUCAUGCAUAGCAAAUAAAUAAAUCAAUUAGUUAAUCGAUUAUAAAUCACAUAUGUGGGGCCCCACCAAAGUCCAUUUAUUUUGCAUGAUUUAAUUCCAAUAACUCCAUUACUUGGAAUUACGGAAAUGAAUUCUUGCUUAUUUUAAAACGUUUUAAAACGAAGGAGAUGUGGAAAUUAUUUGCUAGAAGGAAAGAUGACAACAAAAUUUUAUUGGAAAUGAGAUUUUUGAGUGAUCCUAAAAAUUCUAAAGAUGAAAAUUUGAAAAAUAAAUAAAUAAAUAAGAAUAAAAUAAAAUUAUUUGAAAAUCUAGAAAUUGGAAACUAUUUGAAAACGGGAAAUUUGGAAAUUAAUUUAAAAUUGAAGAUAAAGAAAUAAAUAGAUAAAUAAAAAAAUAAAUAAAGGACACGUGACUCAAAAUGUGGUCAUGCAUAGUUGCUUGUAAAUUGGACAGCCAGUUGCUUCUCAUACUCUCAGCGUCAAGAUGUUCCUUGAUGUAGUUGCCCCAUGUGUCAUCCUUAGCCGUGAUAAUGCAUGUGUUUUCAUCCCAAUUAAAGUCACUUUGAUCAAGAAGUGCCUUGAUAGUGACAUAUUGCAUCCUCAAGACAUCAUACCGAUUCCUCAGUUGGUCCUUAUCCAUGGAUUCCCGCGAAAUAAAUCUGUUACCAGAACAUUGUAACCAUUGCAUGCAACGCGAUAUGCGGAGUCCCUUGUGGAUGAAUUUUCGAAGCCAAAGGCAUCAAACAAGAGCAGUAUCCCUGCCAACUGCGUGUUCAUCCAGCCGCUCAAUCACGCCACUAACAUGGGCACAGCGGAAAGCAUCAACACAACCUUAAUUCCUCUCUUGUAGCUGUUUAGCAGAUCCAAGUCUGUACAAGACUUGAUCUAUGGCAACGUCAUGAGGAUAUAGCCGCGGGGUAGCAUAUGAAUCCAAUCAAUGGGAAAUGGGCAUUAGGAAUGGUGGUCAGGCUUUGCAUGAUUUCAUACACGUGAAUGAGUGAUGCUGGGACCUUCAUGGAGGCUUUGAGUGGAUCUUUGGGCGGCGGUGUAGAAAGAGAAAGGUAGCAGGAAGAAAAGAAUGGGUGUGGGCUUGGUGGUAUGAAACGUGUGGUGUUAAAGAGGAAUGUGGCGUACAUGAGGAAAGACAUGGUGAGUGGAAUGAGCUAUGGGCAUGAGAGAAAUAGAGAAAAUGGGUAUGAAGGUUAAUGAGAGAGAACGGGCGUGUGAGGGUGGUAAAGGAAAAUGGAUGAUGGAUGCACAUAGGUGGAAAUGGGAAUGGAUUUGAUAAAGCAUGAAGGUAGGAAUGGGAUUCGGGUGAUAUUAGAUUACCAUGCAUGGAGAAUGUAUACGUGGAGGUCUAUUAUGCAAAGGAACUAAAAACGGGUCAAGUGAAGGGCUGUUUAGGGAAUAUGGCAUCAGUUUCAGGUUGAGGGGAUGGGGCCCUUGGGCCAUUUGGCUACCCACAAGUAUGAUCUACAAAAUAGGGUCCUUAUGUCAGGGUCAACUUUCGGAUUUUUGCAAAGCUGAUGCUACCAAUUUAAACUCUGAUCAAUCAGUGUCCGCGAUCUUGAGUCCUUCAAGCUGAUGCAACGCGUCUUUAGGAAGGUAGAGCCUCCAAUGAAUACUUUAGAUUUCGAUUUUUGAACAAUCAUGGCAGAACCCUUCAUCGAUUGGCAUUAUCAUUACCCUGGGAUUGCAGCAAGAUGCAUGGAAGGCUUCUUCACUAUUAUCACAAAUGAGCAUAUACAAUAUAUUUUCUGAAUGACCACACGAUUUACAUGGUUGGGAUGAGUUGCUAUUCCCACUAACUCCCAGAACUUCAAGAAGCUCCUGACUCCUCAGUAUAGAAAUGCGUGUAAUCAUUACCCUCUUGUUUGGCAUGACCUGUGCAUACCCAAGAAUGACACCUACUAACCAACCAAUUGAUCCUUAUUGCAUUUAGAACUCAUCUGCAUCCCCUAGUCAAUUUCAGUUUCUGACAGUUAAACCAAAAAUCCCCAGUCUCAGCAAUGACAGUAGUCUCACUUGACAACAUUUUCUGUAUAUGCUGGAACAGAACAUAAACCCUCAAAGGCUCCUCGGGAUCAGACGUAGGAGACUGUCCCUCAGGAACGUAAACUCUAUGGUAGAACUCAUAGGCAGUGAUAUUGCAUUCGAGCCUCUUGGAGAAUGACUUGAAGAAAUCUUUCAUCAAAAUGCACCCAAGCUCAAGCCCAUAAGCACACCAAACACCAUUAUUGGGUUCGUUACAUCACCAUGCUACGGAGUUUAUACAACAGGAAGCUCUAACUGAUGAUGGUUCUGGUAGUGAUUUGCCAAUGGGAACUUGGCCAUCAAGUGAACCCGAUAUCAGAAGCUGAAGUUAUUACCUUGUACUCUUCUAUUCCCCCAUUAUCAGCAAUUCCAAUGGAAACAGUAGGAGAGCCUCAAGACUGUGUAUCCAUUCAAUAACUCUGUUUCUCAGUCAGGAUGCAAAAAACUCCCCAAUGAUUCUACAGCUGCAACCACAGGAGCCCCACUACUACCAGUUCCUUCACCCAUUCUGACAGCAACCAAAACCAGACCAAUGACUUGAACUUUAGACUUCCCCAAUCCAUUAAAUCCAGAAACCACUUGGAGUUAGAAACAUUUUCUACCUCAUCCUAGAACUUUCAGGUAUUUUACAAAGUAAUGGUCGGUAUUUUUCAAAAGCAAAAAGAAAAAAAGGUAAGACUCAAGAAACAGAGCAAACUCAGAAUUCGUUAAUCAAGACUCCAUCUCAUGCUGCACUCAAUGGAUCUAAACAGGUGAGACAAGCAGGGAGCAGUGGCAUGAUUAAUCAAUCUCAAAAAUAAUCCAUAUAUCGGUUAUUGACAGGAAAAAACAAAGAAAGCAGAAAAGAACCCAAACAGAGCAAAUACAAAAACAAACUCAAAUUCAGCAAAUCAAUCCACAAUCAAGAAAAACUAACAAUGCUCAAGUAGCCUGAGAAAAAUGAUGAAGAACAGUGAUAAUGAAAAAUACCCUAAAAAAAAGAACACGAUACUUCAUACCUGUGAAACUCCUCUCCGAUGAAGCUCACCUACCAAACCAAUCUGCUCCCAUCCUUGGCACUAGAACCCCUCUCCGUAGCAGCCUAAGCUCAAGGAAAUCCCUCUCCAGACCGAUCUCUUCUUUCUUCUCAAGUUCUUUUCUCCUCCUCUCAAAAUAUCUCUCCCUGAAAAACGGCAGCCAAAACCUCCCUCUGCAGCUGGCCUGCCCCCGUAACAGAAUACCCCCCUCUAGCUUUCUCACUACCCUCAAAAGCACCCUCUCUCUCCUGCAGCUGCAAGCCUCCACUACCCCCAUGCAGCUGGCAGCCUCUACUCCUCUAACGGCCAGCAGAUUCUCCUUCUAGAAAAUUCUUUCCCUUUUCCAGGUGUCUUUCCCUGAUUGGCCCAUCAAUUCCACUAUAGUGAUUCUACAGUGACCAAUCCUAAGAAGGCACGUGGCCUUAUGAGAUUGCGACACUUGGCAAACACAGGCUGCCAAAAAGUGAGCCCCCAAAUGGGGGUCUACAAUCACAUUUUUAUUUUCAAUAAGAACUCUAAAACUCAUUAAACUAUAAAAUGCAGAUAUACACUCUUGAGAGGACAAUAUGAAGAAUAAAAAGAAAUAAGAAAGAAGCAACAAGAUUUGGAUUUUUAGAUGUGACUCUUAUGUCAUACAUUAUACGACAUAAAUGUUAUUUUAUUUGGAAUUGAGAAUUGUGGGUUUUUUUAUGCAACUCUUGUGUCAUUUGGUUAGCCGGUUUUAUGCAUAUGAAACGUAAGUAUACAUGAAUGUUGGGAUGCUUAACAUUUCUAAAUCAUGUUUUAAUGUGUAUUCACUUUUCUUUUUUAGUUUUGGUGGGUUUGAUAUACUAUGUUUUGUGAACAUUUGAUAUACAAAUAUUAGUGGAUGAUGUAAUGUAUUAUAGGUUAAUCCAUAAGCAUAAAGAAAAUAUAAGUUAAAUGUAAUAUGAUUAUUAUAUUUAUGGACAAAAUUUACACACGUUGAUCUUAUUUAUUAAUAAGCAUUACAAAAAUCUAUAGGCUAGUCAACAAAAAACAACCAUAUCUUCUAUAAUCAUUUACAAUGAAGUGACACCAUAAUUCAAAGGUGAUGCAUUUAACGUGACAUCAUAACUCAAAGGUGAUGCAUUUAAUAUGACACCUUAUAUAUCUCACAUAACUCUAUAUCAAAUUAAGCAUCACUAAAAAUAUAUGGUGUCGCUUCUAAAUGCGUCACAAUUUAUCUGUUUUGGUGUCGCUUCCAAAUACGUCACCAAUUGGUACCCUCUAUGGUAUUGGUGGAUAAGGUGACGCUAUGUUGUAGCGACACCCUAUGUUUAGGGUGACUCGUUAUAAAUGUCACCAUAUAUGUUUUUCCUUGUAGUGUCAUUGGGAAGGUUUUUUCCAUUUUUUAGAGGGGUUUUCUAAAGGCUUCUAGGGUGAGGACACUGUUCUCAUAUUGGCUUUUUUUCCCCCUUUUUAGAGGGGUCUUCUAAAGGCUUCUAAGGUCAACUAGGAGAGCAUGUUGAUUGAUGCUUUGAUAUGGAUACCAGAUGCCACAUUUCAUCUUGUUGAACACUGGUUAGCUAUGGACUUGUUACUGCUUUACUCUUCUGUUUCGAGUUAACUUUGGAAAUGAAUCUGAAUAUAGACUAGUAUUUGCAUCUUGAUGUUUAGAGAAUCAUAUUUUAGUUGUUGUUUAAAAUUCAUUUUGGCAUGUUCGAUUGCUUCAAGCUCAUUUAUACAAUAAUGAAAUGGAGAUUUAUAUAUUUGUUAUUGGGUUGGCUCUCUGUUUGGUUAUCUUUAAGUUCUGCAUCUUUUCUUUUCUCGUUGCCUUAUCUUCUCUGGGGGGUGUCGUUUGAGAAAUACAUAGUGGAAAAAAUGGGAAGCUGAAGGCUUAUCCUGGCAUCGACCUCGCGUUAGGGAACGACUUGAUCGAAGAACAUAUGAAUUUUUCAAAUACCCAGAACUCACAUCAAAAGAAGCAUCGGAGUCAAGGUCAAACACAUCAUCUGACAAGGAAUAUACCUUUGCCUUUGGUGACUUUAUUGACUUCUGCAUGAUGGACAUCCGAGGGUGGGGACUGGAAGAGAAAUGAUGAAUUUGCCCAAGAUAGUUUGUCUAGAAAGGAACUUGUAUUAAAUGAUGAUUACCCACUAUGUCAGAUGUUGAAAUUUGGGUAUGACAACUCCUGGUGGCAUCAGAAAGAUGAGUUGCACAAUCCUUCUCACAGUUGAAAGCUUGACCUCCGAAGUUGGGCUUUUUCAUGGCCAGACAAGAACAGUGAUCACAAUAGUAUGAGCCAAGCCUGUCACGACCCAAAUUCUAGGUGAACUUAACCAUGACUCCAAAUCAAAGGUUUAAACUUAAAGGUUACAUCUAUUCAAUCUAGUAGUCAAUCCUGAUAACUUGAUUUUUUUUUCUUGAUAAAACAAUAUCUAAUCCCAAAUCAAUUUAUUAAGCUAAUAACUUGAUUUUUUUUCUCAAUAAAACAACAUCUAGUCCCAAAUUAAUUUAUUAAGCUAAGAUUUACUAUAUCAUAUUAUUUGAUUUUAUUUUUCAAAAAUCAACCAUUACACUAUCACUUAUUUGCAAGUAUAAUAAAUCUGUCAAACAUCUUAUCACCCAAAAUGAUAACCCAAAUAUUUACAAAAAAAAGUUUUACAAAUUAAUAAAAUAUAGUCUAAGUUAUAAAAGUUCUUAUAAAUUAAAUUAGUAUGUGCUAAAAUAUAAGAUAACUGAAAAAAAAAAAAAAAAAAAAAAAACCAUUAUUAUUAUGGUUCCUUAAAAACUAUAUUUGCAUCUAAAAAUUUUAGAAAAUAAAGGGAUGGACAUUUCCACAUUACUUAGUAAGGUAUUUUACACCCACACAAAUUAGAAAUUCUAAGUCAAUAAAACACAAUCAUAUAUCAAAGUGUAAUUUUACAUCUAAUGUACUACAACUAUAUACAUUUAAACUAAUCAAAAUUAUCACUAACCAUAAUCAGACUCCAAAUAAUACAAAUAACAUUUAUUAUCUCCCAAAAACAUAAUGUGUAAUUUUGUUUCCAAAGAAAAAUAUAAAAUAAAAGUUUUAGGGUUAAACCACCCUACAUCAAAUUUGAAAAUCUAAUUGUUAAAACUAAAAUCAGACUCCGUAAAAAUGUUCUUUAUGUUAAAUAGAGUGUUUUGCUAAAAUCUCAUGCAAAACAGAAUUCAUUUGGCUUGUCGGAUGACAACCCAAAUAUUUGUUGCACCUUCCUUGUUUCUUCUCUUCCUUUGUGUUUCCGUUUGCACUCUUCUCUCUACGGAUCUGGUAAAUAGGGUAGCCCCUGGUACGCUUGGGGCUGGAUUGAAUCCUAUUCGAACUAUAUCUAACUUGAUCUUGUCCAAGCUAGGAAGGUUUUUGGUCUCGAUGACAUUGGAAGUUUCAUCAUUGCUAAAGAAAGGGGCGGCCAAAAAGGCUUAGCGACGACCCUCUCUCGACUUAAAGGAAACGACUUGUCCCAUCCAAUGCCCUACUUUUAAGUGCUCGGUAUGUUCACUUAAUCAAAUCUAGAAGAAGCUUGGCCUCUGUAGAGCAUGAAAAGGCUAGUUUUGAAGCUUUUAAUCGAGGACUUAUUUGCCCUAAAGCCUGACUUCUUAGGAAGAGAAAUGGGCUUGACUUCUUCAUCAACCUCGGAAUCGCAUUCUAUCACACUGGUGGUACUUCUUGUUGAAUUAAAAGAUUGGAUGAGUCUUUUUGUACCCACCCGCCACCCCUGUUUGAGAGUGAUUAAAUAUCAUAACUUCCUUAAUGGACCUACGGACUAGCUAAGGUUUACUUACAUAGUUGUUCUUUCUUUUCUCAAUUUCAAGUUAAAGUUAGCGUUUUUCAGCUUACUGUUUGCUUUGGUUGAGUAGCCGCCUUAUGACCCUUUGCUUUUGAAUGAAAUCAUCUAGAACCUCUCAGAUCGGAUUCCAAUCACCUUAGUGAGUCUCCUAGGUGCGAAGCCAUUCUUUAAGCCCAAAACAAAAGGAGAAGUGAAGUCACUAUCUAGACAAAGGGGCUUGCCUACUUAUAAGGUAGGAGUUCACACCGGGGAAUCGCUUUCUUAAUUAAUUAAAAGCGAGCCAAACUCACCACCUCAUGUACCAAAGUCAAACGGUUGUUCUUCCUUCCCCGCUCCCUUUUUCUCUACAUAUGUGAUGGCGGGCAGAGCGCUCUAUAUGACCGGUGGUGGGUUACCAGAGAAGAUGGGACAACUUCUUUCUCUCUUGCCUUGCUCAAUCUUCCUUUUCUGAUUGAAAGUAGCAAGCCACACCACUACUGGUACAGAGGUCGGAUAGAAGGUUGCUUUUUCUAUAUGUUCAGGCGAAGAACAUCUACGGCACAGUCUUCGCCAAGCAAGAUGAUGUAACUCCUCAAAACAUAAAAAGAGCUCUUAUAUAUGUAAAAACAUGAUAUAUGUGUAAAUGAAUUAUAGCCAUUUUCAAAUAGAUCAGGAUCGUCAGAUGUUUGAAAUGGAAAGUCAAUUUUUCUAUAUGCAUGUAGAUAUCUAUAGGGGAUUAUAUGAAGGGGAUGUUAUUAUUUUAGAUAUAAUCAAUUCCCUUCUCGGAGCCCACUAAGAUCCGGAUCUCCUACGGAAAUGAUUUAGAAGAUCCAAAACCAAAAAUAGUGGUAUUUGCUAGCAACAACAUAAUGGAGGCAGUCAAUCAAUAUAUAUUGAUCUAAAAUCUGAUUCAAAUCCAAUAUAGCACCUAUGGGUACAUAAAAGAAAGGCAAGAGAGAAAAGAAGUCCAUACUUUUCAACAAAGCUUUAAGUGAGUAGGGGUGUAGCAGAUUCAUGCACGUCGAAUAUAAAUGCAGUUGGAUGAGUAGUCGCGGAUUCACAAUGCCGGUUAAAAAGCCAAUCUUAGGGUUGCAUUCACUCCCCUUCUAUAUCUUGCAUCUAUAGUAUUUUUGUCCUGGUGGAUCUCUUUAUCAUUUAAUAAAAGUUUGGAAUCUUGGGUUACUAAUUGGUGGAAUACUAGGCAAUCUAAAACUUUUUUGAAUGAUAUUCAAGAAAACAAUCAAUUUCCCAUCAUUUGCACUAUGAAUGGAAAUGAAAUUCUAGAUCUAGAAUCAGAUGAAUGUGCAACAGUCAAUUUCCUCCCUCACAACCUAAUUGUCCACUAAAAACAACCUUUUUUACUAUACGCUAUUUGGCCGCUAGAAGAACUUCAGUUCUUAUAGGUAAAUGCUCAAUACCCAAGUAGGCCUACAAAGUUGAUCAUGAUCAAGUGCUUUUUGGGUCGUCUUAGACCUUGCAAUAUCUCUCCGGCCCUCUAGCACUCUGUUAUGGCUCAAUCACUUACUCUAGUUCUGGAGUUCUAGGUCCUCUAGCUAUUAGUGCAGGUAGCUCUCCUUCUGGUAAUGCAUUAUAGGUUGUCUUCCUUCCACCUUCCUGUUUUCAAGAAAGCUUAUUUUCUUUCUAAGAAAAAUCAUACAAUCUCGUAUGAGAACGGGAUUGAUGGGAGGCAUAUGCUCCCAGGCUACACAAUGUCUUACAGGGCUUACCCAGUUAGAAGGUAUGUAACUAAAGUCUCAAGAGAAUUGAAAUCGACGAGAAAUCAGAAUCAAUGUUAGAGAUUAGACUUGGCAUGGAAAAAGGAGUAUAGUAAGAUGAUAGAGACCUCGCACGAGAUGCUUACUCGGAUUCAUGCCCAUAAAGAGUAGAAGAUUCAACACAAGUGCAAGAAUAGGUUUCACAGUUAAGAAAGGUUGAGAUUCAGGUGAGUGAGUGAGUCCUCACUGACUUGAGCGAUUUCGAUCACCUAGCAGUUUAUUUGGUAGGUAACAUCGCUAAAGCAUAUCAUCUGAUCUACAAAUGAAGGAAAUCAAAGUGAGACGACACCGUCCUCUGUAACGCAACGAUAGUUGGCCCUUUAUCAUCAACUAUUUGGUAGACUUGGUAAAAGAUGUAAGGCUUUAGCUAGUACACGAAAGUGCAUACCAUGAUUCUUCUGUCUAUCAAUAACUGCAUGCAUUGCACGAUGGAUGUGAAGAAGUAGGCCAUUAUCUCGACAAUAAUGAGCCAAGCUAGUAUUUGCAGUGAAUCCCCCUGUUAAGUAGUCACAUUAAUGGAACAAGAACACAUUAGCGUAUGAAACAGAGCUGAAAGCGCGAGUGCACAAUCUCAAAAACGGCAAAUUCACGUUCUACUUCCUCAAUCUCGAACUCUGUCUAUUGGGAUGAGCUCCCCUUACCUGCGCUAUUCUAUGAACGAACUUCCUUUAUAAACCAUAAAACUGGAACAAUCACUGUUCCAGGGUCUGUCUCAGAGUUCUAUCUCGUGCUUGACAUCAAUUGCAUCCAAACCUUUAAUCGGGUAUACUUUCCACAAUAACAAGCGAGUCAUAGUUAGGUAAAAGUUAUACAGAAAGAUGACAUCGUUGGCGAACUUGAAGCUAGUUAGGUAAAUCCCCUUAUAUUCUUCUUUCUUCUCCCAUAAGACAUUCCUUAUUAUUAUUAUUAUUAUUAUUUUCAUUUUCUCAAUUUCUUUAUCUUUUCAACUUUAAGACACCAUUUUGCACUUCUUCUUUUUUAUUAUAAUUAUUAUUCUUUAUCAACCAUACCAUGUUAAGAAAUUUAUUUAUUUUAAUCCAAAAAUCUACUUAAAUACAAUUUCAUACUUUUCUUAAUAAAUUAUAUAUAUAUAUAUAUAUAUAUAUAUAUAUAUAUAUAUAUAUAUAUAUAUAUAUAUAUAUAUAUAUUAUUUCUUAUUAUAACAAAUUUAAAAUGUCACAUGUAUCAUUUUUUUAAUAAAUCAAAUUAUUAUUCUUUAUUUCAUAUUCUACAAUUAUAAAUUAUACUCAAUAUAUGAUUUAUUGUCUUACGAAAAAUAUACUGCUAUAUUCUUAAUUAAAUUUAUUACAAGUCUACUUUUCAAAAAAAAAUUAAUUUGACUUUAAUUACUUGAAACAUUUUUAUUAUGAAAUUCAUUUAGAACAUGAUUUCAUUAAUUAUAUAUUUAAAAAAAAUCAAUUUUAGAAAAAAAUCUGAAACAUAAAAUAAUUCUUCAACAUCAAGAAGCUGAAAUUCAUAAUAAUAUUUAAUCCUUUAAUUUUACCAAUAUUUAUUUACCAAUAAAAUUUAAGCAAUAUUCUGAAAUUUAAUUCCAUUAGUUAUUUAGUCAUUCAAUUUAUAAAAUCAUAUUCUCAACCUUUGGUAUAACUUUUAUUUAAUUUACUUCAUUUGUCAAAUUUCUCAAUUGAAUCAAAAUUUCAAAAGUUAAAUUCACUAAAUUCAUAUUUAAUUAAUUUAGCCUUUUAUAUUCCCUAAAUUAAUAUAUCAUAAUUUACUCUUAAUGUAAUUUCAAUUCAAUUUUAUUUGAUGUUUUGUAAUUCUAUAAGGUUUAAUUCUAAUUAUAAAAAUUAUUGAUUUCUUAUAAAAUUAAAUUCAAUUUCUUUUUAAUUAUCCAUUAUAACAAUUUGAUAUAAUCUAAAUUUUUAUCAAGUUUUUCUUACUACAAUUCUCUAUAAUUAAAUUAAUGGUCAUAAUAUACUUAAUAUUCAAUUUUAGAGACUAUAAUAUCAAUAAUUAUUUGAUGGUUGAAUUUUUUUCCAAAUUUAAAUUUAAUUUUUGAAAUUCCUACUCUUUGCAUAUGACGUGAUGGAAUUUUUAUACUAUUGACUUUUUAUUAACUUUUUCAAAAAAUUUCUUAAUUAAAUAUUAACACGGGGAUUUUCGUCAUUCUUUUUUAACAUUUGACUAAUGAUUUUAUGAUAACUUUAAUCUGACAUGUCAUUAAAAAUCCGGUUGUUAUAGAGCCAGUCAAAUUAAGCCUGUUAUCCGAGGAGUGAAGCCACUGCCUUGUUCUAUCUCCGAUGGCCUGCUCAGCUCCUUCAACCCCCAUCGCUCUCCUCUUUCCAAGUUCUCCAUUUUCAGUUUAGAGCCAACAAGGAUCGCAGAAAUCCUUAAAGAUUGACCUACAUGGUAUCGUGAGUACCGCGAUGUGGAUGUUCUUAAUGUGUUGUCUACUAGAGCCAAAUGGGUGUUUGAUAAGACCCAGUGAAGGUGUAAAAAUUAUAUGACGAAGCUUGCAGAAAGACUUUGAGUUGAGGGAAGGCAUCUCAACGAAGUUGGGCUUUUGUAUUGUGAAUCUGGCAAAUUACCUAUACUGCAUGGAUCAUCACUCUUUUAACGUGGAGGUACACAGGUCCUUUGCAAUGUGACACUUGGGGCACCACAUCAAGCUGGUGAUGCUCAACGACUGGCUUCUCUGGACGGGUCCUCCAACAAAGCGCUUCAUGCUUCACUGAAAUUUCCCGGAGUUCUCAAUUAAUGAAGUUGGCCAACUCCUUAACCUGCACUGUUCCGCAGCAGUCACAUAAAGAUUUGACAUUGAAAUUGAUCAGGUUUUUCCUCUGCCAAUGGUGGUGGGCGCGCUUUGUAUGUAGAUUCCGAAGGAACUUCCAACUUGAUGGCUGUGAGUGGUAAGGUUGGAGAAGAUACUACUGGGUCUGCCCCAUUAGUUUUCCAUUGUUAAGGUAGUUUGGUGCACAGCUUCCUGGAUCAUCUACACCACGAGCACCUCCAGCCGCCUGUUUUGAUCAGUUUCUGGAUUUCCAUCUCCAAAUUGUGCAAGCAGUGACUGAUAUGGUGUCCAUACAAGCGGCUACUGAAAUGGUUCAAACCCCAAAUGCUGAAGGGAAAGGAGCUUUUGGAAAAUAUCAUGAAGAAGACUCACCCAUCUUACAUGAAAUUAUACACAACUCCAUGGACCAGAACCGGAACCCAGACUUAAAUUUGUCCAAGAGAAGAUCAGUGUAAUACAAGUCAACUGCAGUCAUUCCUGAAAGAAGUGAUGAGAAGAGUAAACCUGGAAAAGCAGUGAGUGAAACAAGUUUUGUGACAUUGAACAAUUUGCAGAUGGGUGUUCCCACAAGCUCCUCUCCCCUCUUCCUACGUGCAUGAAAUUCCUACGUGCAUGGCCACCUUCUUAGGUGUGCAAUUCUGCGCAUAAUUCUCAAGCGUACUAUCACCCUCUUCUUUUUUGAAAAAUUGAUUUUAAAUUUAAAAUUUUGACAAAUUCAUUUCCCUUUUAAAAUCCCUCAGUAAUUCUCUUCAAAUUAAUAAAAUCUAUUUUCAAAAAAAAUUUGCUGCCAUUUUCCUUUUGGCAUAGACCUUUUUCUAUUUUCUUUGAUUUUUAAUCAUUUUCCAAUUUUUUAAUAAAUAUGAAUAAAUUCUAUGUUUUUAAAAAUAAUGGAAUUUUGUCCAAAUUUCUAUUAUCUUUUUCUCCAUGAUCAUUAGAAAGAUGAAAUUCCUAAAAUUAAUUCAUGCAAAUAAAUUGGACAUUGGUAGGCCCAACAUAUGAAUUUUUCUCCUUUGAUUAUUGUUUUUAAUUGCUACACUUGAUUGACUAAUGAUUGAUCUCUGUCUUGCUCUAGCAUACAUGAGAUUAUUUUGUGCUUGUUAUUGUACACUAACCAUGUUUCUCACGAAGCGCUCAACUUAUUCUCAAGUACGUUCUUUCCUUUUCCUAUUCGUUUAGUUAUAACCAAUGUUUUCAAAAUCGGACCGAUCAUUGAAUUGGAAAAGUUACUGGUUCACGGUUCACUGGUCGAAUCGGCGGUCAAAUCACGGUCAAACUAGUGAUGUCAUAAAUAUAUAAUUUAUAAAUUAUUAAAAUUUAAAAUAAUUAUAAAAAUAAAAAUAAUAAUUUAUAUAUUAUUUAAAAAUUAAAAUUUUAUUUAAAAAUUAGAAAAUUAGUUUCAAAUUAGAAAUUAAAAUUAAAAUCAUAAUUUUAAUUUUAAUUUUCAAAUUUUCAAAUUCAUUUUUAAAUAAAAAAAAACUUAUUUUAAAAUCAUGAAUUUAUUUAAAAUUAUAAUAUUUUCAUUAAUUUAAAUUAAAAUCAUAAGUUUUAAACAUCAUGAAAUAAAAAAUAAUAAAUAUAAAAGAAAAUAAAUUAUACUGAAAUGAGGUAAAAAAUAAUUUAAAAAAAUGGAAAAAGAGAGGAGAGGAACAAGCAAAAAAGGGUUCCAACAGGGUUUUGGGGGGUGGGGUUUCCAUUUCUAGCGCCAGGUGGGGGCCCUUCCGGUGGGCCAAAAGGGGAAAAGCUUUUUGGCUUUUCCAGUGCAAGGGGUGCCGAUGGGGUGGGGGGUUCCAAUGGGCAAGAAGAGCUCUUCCAGCGCACGCGGGUAGGAGUGGCGACAAUGGGGAAAAAAAAAAAGUUGAACCGGAUGGUUCCAUCCGAACCGUCCGGUUAGUCGGCCGAACCACCGAUUUAACUAGUCCGACCACUUUCCAGCCCAAUUGACCAAACCAGAUUGAAACCGUGACCAGCCGAUCCAAUCCAAUUUUUAAAGCCAUAAUUAUAGCUCAACCAUAACACAUCAUUGAUCAUUACUUGGUAUUUGUUGACUUUUUGAUCAAUUGUCAUUCUUAUAUUAACUUGAUUAUUAGAGACCUAAUUUUAGGGUAUAAAGGGGUAUUACGAUUUAUCAUCCUACCUUCUCAACAAGUAACCUGACCCUUGAACCCAGACUUGGUUUUUCAUAAACCCGUAUUUUCCUUUCAAGUUUCAUACUUAGAAUUUUUUUUUUUCCAUUUAAAAAUAAAAUAAAGAUACGUGGCCUAAAACCAUUUUCAUCAAUCCAAAGUGAGUCUUGUCUUUUUUUUUUUCAAGUAAGGACACGAUCACAGGUCUACAAUACUAUUUUAAUAUAUAUAAUGAAAUAUAGAUAUUAACGCCAUCUUAAAGAUAUAAUUAAAUUUUUUGUUUAAAAUAAAUUAUAAUAAUUUAAAAAUAAUAUUUUAUUUAAAAUAAAUUUUAGAAUAAGCAAAGUUGAUAUGUGGACAUAGAGAAUCGUGAACCAUUGUAAAUGUAUUGAUUAUAUCUCUUUCUUCCCAUUUCAUUUUUACUUUAGUUUUUAUUAUUCGUAUCUUUUUCUACUAAAAUUUGAAAAAGAAAUUCACAUUCACUUCUUCUUGGGUGUAUAUCAUAGGAUUCAAAAUGUUUUUAAAAAUUAUUAAAUUUGUUAAUUGUGACUAUAUGCUUAUUUAGGAUCCAUUGAUCUUAAUAACUUUCUUCCCGAUAUAGGAAGAAAAUGACUAUUCCAUUAAUGCAGCAUGCAUUGCUGCUUAUUUAUCAAGCAAAUUACAUUAUUAUUUUCACACCAAACCUCCAAAUUCUCCAUGCAUAUACGCAUCCUAUACUGCAUGGCCAACUUCAGAGAGCUAAAACAAGCUCUUAUUGAAUACAUGAUAGAUAAUGUCCCACUGACCCUUUUACUCUGAUACCCUGAAAUGAGAAAUUUGGAGGUUUUCCACAUCAAGCUUCUUGAAAUUACUGCGCCUUCUCGUAACAAAGAACUUUCCCCAGUUGUAUGCUCUAUACUUUGGCUUUUCCCCCUUCGUCAGCUCCUCCAAGGGCUUCACCCAAACAUGGUGCCCGGGACUCAAAACGAACGGAAUCGAGAACCUUUCCCUCUCUGAAUUCACCAUCACCCUGUGCUCCACACUUUCAUAAGUAUCGUUGCUCCAGACCUGGUUUAAUAUCAGUAGAAUUAACCAAAUGAGUGAAAAAUUCCUUGAGCCAAACACUACUGAUAAGCAUGUACUUGUAAUUCAAAGUUCUUGGGUGGUACCUGAACUAUAUCCCCAACAUUGAUGAUAUAAGCAUCUGGGGUGGGCUUAACUCGAACCCAUUCUCCAUCAGUUUUUCGCUUUACUUCCAACCCUCCAACAUCAUCCUGAGCAAGGAAAGUUAAGGCUCCGGAAUCCUUGUGGCGACCAAUGCCCAGAGCUAGGUGAGGAAUGGAGCAAGGUGGGUAGUGAUUGAGGCGGAUGAAGUUUGUUGAUUCUUCAAAGAGAAGAUUGAAUCUGUUCUCUGGCAAACCUAAGCUCAGAGAGAGGAGUCCCAACAGAUUGACAGCUAGUUUUUCCAUUUCUCUAGCAUAUUCUUCACAUACCUCCCUGUAUAAAUCAGCUCAAUUAGAACAAAAAAACUUAAGUAAUUCACUGUAGUGACUGUGCCUUAGCUGGUGGAAUUUGUACCUUAAUUCAGGAGGGUACUGAGGCCACUGAUUGAUCAGCUUUUCGAGCUCCUUGUCGUCAGGAUUAGGCGAAGCAGGGAUGAAGGCGGGGGAUGACGCCACGAUAUCAAAGACUUCCUUCCAGUCCCUAACGUUCUUGGUAUGCUCAGUAUCGAAAUACCCAAAAGGAUUCACCUCAUCUCUACUCACCUUCCUCUUCUCCUCCAAUGGCAGAGCGAAGAACUUCCUCGCCGCAUCCUCAAUUUUACGACGAGACUCGGAGGGCACCCCAUGGUUGAUGACUUGAAAGAAGCCCCAGUUCUUGCACGCAUCAGCUAUUUGAGAAACAUGGUUGGAAGCAUUGGCGGAAGAGAGAUCAAUGAGGGGGAUGCCUUCAGCUUCGAUAACAGCGAGCUUAGGCCUAUGUUGGGUGUCUUGGAUGAAAGCUGGAUCGACCUCUCCCAUGGCUGUGGUAGUGGUUAGAACUUAGAACUUAGAAAUGGCGGUUAUGCACUGCUGGUGUUAGCUGCACGUGAAGAUGGUGAGGGGGACUUGGCCACUUAGCAGGUGGUUUUUGUAGUGUAGUGGGGUUGGUUUAGUACAUUGAACCUGGACAUAAUUGGGGUUACGUUUUAAGUUUUGGUUGGGGGUGUGGGCUCAUGGGUUGCGCAAAUGUCAAUGAUAAUUGGUCAAGUGAUACCAAGUUAUUUCCAAAAUCUGCAGCCGCAAAGGGUAUCUCUCUCGAUGAUUUUGGCAACGUACAGCACUCUCCACAUUCAAAUGUUUGAUCAAAGAUACGUUUUGUUUAGUGUCGUGUAUAUUUUCGAAUUAAUUACUUCAUAUUUAGGGAUACGUUUUGUUGAGUAUCGUGUAUAUUUUCGAAUUAAAAACUUCAUAUUUAGGGAAAAGUGUGCUUCAAUACGCUAAUAUAAAAAUAUCAGCAAAAUAAGAUCCUAAUUUUUCAUAUUUUAAGGUUUAUAAUGCAAUUGGAAAUUAUUUGGAGAAUUAUGCAUUUUCAGCUCAUGUGUAUUUCAAAUCCAAAAUGCUCUCCACCUUGCCAGCCAAGUCUUACACGUUGAAAGUAAAGAGAGAAAAAAUCUUCAAAAAGCCACCAAAACCAAUUUCUCUUUCUUUUUGAGUUAUUUGAUUCAAAAGAUCAAUAAAAUCCAAUUUUUAAAAUUUAACCCUUUGUUCUUUUUUUUUUCAUUUUGAUAAAAAUAUCUUUACCAUUUUCUUGUAGAAAUAACAUUUUUUUUAAACCUAUAUGUAAAUACUUGAAAUGGUAAGAGACGUGUACAUUAAAAAAAAGUUAUUUUUCAAGUAAAAAUAUAGAAAGGAUUAUUUCAUCCCUUUUAACCAAAUAUUUAACAUGAUCAAGGACUAUUCCCUAAAUGAAGGCAUACGGUAGCAAAUACCCUUAAUCUAAACAUUAAAAGUACAACUUAUCUAGUAUCAAACACUCUGUUUUAAAACCCAUAGCCACUCCAAAUAUCCCAAAUAUUCUUUUCUAUGCAACCUCUCUCUCUCUCUUUCUCGCACAAACACACUAAAAUAUUUUCUCAAACUUGGAUUUUUCUCCACAACUCAACCCUAACUUCCUUUCUAUUUGUACCAAGGCUAGAGAAUAUAGUUUAUACUUGUAUUCCUUCAUGUACCAAGCCCACAAGAUGAUCAAUAAGUUUCUCUCUAGAUUUUACAUUGGAGUUGAUUGAUGAUAGUACCCUUAUUAGGUAGUAUAUUAUCUUCCUUAGGUACUGCUUUUUCCAUCCUUAGAUACUACCUUUGUAACCUUGGGUGCAUGAUUGAAUCCAUUGUUUCAUGGCUACUUCAAGUAAGUCAGGAACUUAUGUACAUGUGUGCUACAUGUCUUAUAGAUACUAAAUUUACAUUCUUUAGGUACUACCUUUACCUUCCAUGGGUACAAAUACGGUUAAUGAUAAGAAUUUUAAUAUAAAAAAGGGAAAAACCCUGCUUGAUAAUAAAAUUGCAUAUAUUUUCUUUCUUUCUUUCCUUUUUGAUUGAUUUUUUUUUUUUUUGGUCUUUGCUUUGGUUUUUAUUUAUGUCUUUGUUUCUUUUAGUCUUUGUGUGUGUGUGUUUUAUUUUAUCUUAUUUUCAUCUCUAUGCAGAAGAUGUAGAAGAAACAACAUCACAUCAUAAGGUGCAUUUUUCCGUUCAUUUAAGACUAAAGGUUUUGGAUUCACAAAAUGGUGGGAACUAAGGGUGAGAAGCUGGAAAAAUGUUGGAUUGAGCUACAUUUGAUCAAUGGUGAAUUUGCAAAAAAGAUUGUAGGAGAGUGUAGACCCUCAAUUUUGUCCCUUUAGCACAUGUUUUAAAGUCCAUUACCAAUACUUUACAGUAAUCUCUUGGUAGCCCAUAGCUACUCACGCUACUUACCUUUCUUGAGCCACCUCGGAGACUCUAGUUGAGGGAUUGCCUAACCCCUUAUUGUGACCCUUGGCAGUUUUGAUUUAGACUUAAGGUUUUCAUUCCUUCUUAGGAUAGCUCUUAGGUGCACUUUUAGGUCCACUUAGGCAUCACCCUUGGCUAAUUUAGACAUUUUGGGCCCGUUUAGACACCUUAAACUCGCCUAGAUUCACCUUAGACCCGCUUAAGCACUUCAUUGGGGCUCAACAUUUUUAUAUAAUCUCUUGAUCAUUAUUGCAUGCAUUUGAUGAUUAUAUUUUCUUUGUUUAUUCAUUUAUUUGUUUGUUUAUUUAUUCAUCCAUUUAUUUAUUCAUUUUUUAAUUUCUAUUACGUCUUGUUUUUUUUUUUCUUUCUUUCUUUCAUUUAUUUACCUACUUAAUAGAGAAUUGUUUAGAUAUUAAAUAUGCAUACAACCCCCUUAUUGAAUGAUGGAAUUGUACAAUCUGAUAUCUCAUUUUCUCUUUCAUUUUCUUUUAAUCGUAUUUCACUUUAUUACCAAUUUCAUGACUUUCAUUAGUUGCUUCUCUUUUCCUUUGAUUUUUUAAUCUUAUCUUAUUUUGUUUUGCAUAAGGAGCACCAUCUUGGGGAGUACAAGAGGAUCUACAUUACUGGUUUGAUCAACAUAUGUUUGAGACUAAAAGCCUUCAAGAUGGCAAAAGAUGGUCAUCACAGCCCCAUGCUUCUUCUUCCCAUCUCUCAUAAUUGAAGCCUCUGUACAAAACUUCAUCAUAUCCUGAACAAUAGCAGCCACAGCAGUUGCAGCCACAGCAGCUGCAGCCACAGCAACUGCAGCCACAACAGCUGCAGCCACAGCAGCUGCAGCGACAGCGGCAACCACAGUUAAUGCUGCAACAGCAGCCACAGCAGCAUAGACUGCAUCAUCCAGUUCAACCUUCAUUUGGUCAUUUAUCAGGGUUGCAGCCCCAACUAUUUAAUCCCCAUCUUUCCCCAGCUCCACUCAUCAUGAACAAAUAUGAAGCAAUGCUUGGGAUAGGUAAUCUGAGGGAUCAAAGACCCAAGUCAAUGCAAAAAGGUAGACCAAAUCAUCGGGUUUCUCAACAGGGCUUGGAUACUAGCAGUCGGAAGAGUGAUGUUGGUGGCCACAGUUCAGAUCCAAGUAUAUGACAGCUGAUGAAAUCGAAAGUAUCCUUAGAAUGCAACGUUGCGGAACAGAUGGAUGAGUAGAAAGGAAAAUAGCAUGAAAAUAGAAAGGAAGUGACCACUUUGUGCACAACACGCAUAUAGUGGGCUGUAAGGGGGAUUCUUUUUUGUUUAGAAAGAAAAGUCAACUUGUAUCACUUACUAAACGAGAUGUGGCUGCAUCCUUGAGGGAAUCUCCCAAUGAGCCACCAUGUAUGCACUUUCCUUAUCCAUGUGCAUUGAAAAAGGAUAUAGAAUAUUCAAUAGAGGAAAGGUGCUGCCAUAUAGAAGGAAGGUGCUGCCAUAUAAACAUGUCACAGAGAGAACACACGGUGGACUUUUCUUUUGGGAGCAGAAAUUCACAUACAAAAAGUAAUCUUUUUUAGAGGAGAUGAACACACGCAAGAGUUUUUUUUUGGGAGCGGUAGAGGACCUGAACGACUAAUUGGGCUGCCAUUUUGACACAUCAAGAAAGUAUUUUUCCAAUACAAUACAGGUUAGUUUUCGAUUUUUGAUACCGUAUUUCCUUUUUUUUUUAGUUUGGGUUUUAGUUGUUUGGUUUAAUUAAUUGUUUGUGAUAAAUUCUUUUAAAUCUCGAUUUCGAACAAUCUUUUAUUUUUCUUAUAUUAAAUGUCUAUCUUUUAUGAUUGCAAUUCAUUAGUUCUAUGCUAGUUUAUUUUUAAUUUACAUGAAAGUUUAAAUAAAGUUUAUAUUUUUAAUUCCAAUUAGUUUAUUUUUAAAUUUGAAUGAGUUAUCGAUCUUAAUUAUUUAGUUUAAUUGACCUUGUGAGAUAAAAUUUAUAUUUUUAAUUCUAAUUAGUUUAAUUUUAGUUUAUUUUUAAUUUGAAUGAGUUAUCGAUCUUAAUUCUUUAGUUUAAUCGACCUUGUGAGAUAAAAUUUAUAUUUUUAAUUCCAAUUAGUUUAAUUUUAGUUUAUUUUUAAUUUGAAUGAGUUAUCGAUUUUAAUUCUUUGGUUUAAUUGUCCUUGUGAGAUAAAAUUUAUAUUUUUAAUUCCAAUUAGUUUAAUUUUAGUUUAUUUUUAAUUUGAAUGAGUUAUUGAUCUUAAAUCUAUUAGUUUAAUUGGACUUGUAAGGUAAAGUUUAUAUUUUUAAUUCCGAUUAGUUUAAUUUUAGUUUAUUUUUAAUUUGAAUGAGUUAUUGAUCUUAAAUCUAUUAGUUUAAUUGGACUUGUAAGGUAAAAUUUAUAUUUUUAAUUCUAAUUAGUUUAAUUUUAGUUUAUUUUUAAUUCGAAUGAGUCAUUGAUCUUAAUCUAUUAGUUUAAUUGGUCUUGUAAGGUAAAGUUUAUAUUUUUAAUUCCGAUUAGUUUAAAUUCUAGUUUAUUUUUAAUUUGAAUGUGUUAUCGAUCUUAAUUCUUUAGUUUAAUCGAUCUUGUGAGGUAAAGUUUACAUUUUUAAUUCCAAUUAGUCUAAUUCUAGUUAUUCAUGUGUUUCUUGAAAUCUAAAUGUUAGUUUUUGAAUGAUAAUUUUGUUAGUUUGUUUGAUUAGGAAGUCAUAAAUUUGUUGUCUUAGUGAUUGUUGGUCAAUUUUUUUUUAGGACCACUGGAAACCCAUGAAGGUUGGCCUUUACUCUCACCACUUUAAUUGAUAAGAUUUUCUAAAAUCUUUAUUUCGUGAUCUUUGUUUCCUUUUGUUUUGAUUGAUAUUUUGUUUUCUAUUUUUGUUAUUUUAAAAAUUAAUUUCUUUUAUUUUAAAACAAAACUCUUUUUCUCAAAAAAACCCUUUUUAAAAUUUUUUUUUUAUUAUUCAUUUAAAGCCUCUAGAAUCAAAAUCUAUUUUCUUUUUUAAAAAAUAACAUGCAACCAUAUCUUAAUCAGUUUGCAUCCUUCUCAAUUUUCAACAAAAAUAUCCUUCUCAAUUUUCAACAAAAAUUUUGGUUUUAAACAAAACGCGAAUCAAAGCUUGUGGUCCCAAAUAAAUGGAACAAUUUUAGGCUAAAUUCAUGUAUAUUAAUUUGGGGAAUUGGUGAAACCCCUACAUAAGAAAAUCUUUUCAAAAUUUACUUUUGCUACCACCCUACUAUUUAUCAUAAUCAUAUUUACUUUUUUUCUUUUUAGGAAUUGUAUACAAGAUAUGUAUGAUAAUUAAUUAUUCCGAGUUCUGAUAAUUUUUGCUAAUUAAUUAGAUAAGCAUGCUAGGAUUUAUUAUUUAUUAUCUAUUAUCUAUUAUCUAACCCUCAUGUUCUGAGGAAGUGCAUUAGGAGUUAUAUAUGCUAUCCAGGUACGUUCCCAAAAUCUCAUGAAUAUGCAUGUCAUUACCCUUGUUUGAUGCCAUACUUGAUUGCCUCGAUGCUUGUUUGAUCAUCCUUGAUAAAAUGCAUGUCGUGUGUCAUAUUUCUGAAUUAACCAUUGAUGUUUAAUGAUAGUGCUUAAGAAGUGGUUCAGGUACGCACCCUAACUCUCCUUUAUUGUGAUUGAUCUCCUUAUUUAGCAUGCUACUUUCUGAAAAUCACCUAGCUUACUUAAGUAUCCAUAAUUAAUCAAUUAAUUGCCUCAUUUCCCCAAUUUAGUCAGUAAAGACCUCUUUAGGGCUUAGAAGGGUGCUACCUCCUAGAGGUACCUUCCCAAUAAGUAACCUGAUCCCCGGACCUAGACUCGGGUUUUUCAAAGACAUGUUUUUUUCAAAAAUUAUGGAGUCACAUUUUAGGGUUUUUCUUUCUUGUUUUAUUUUCCCUUUAAAAUAAAAAUAAAAUAAGUGGCGGCUCCAACUUUUCCAAAACUAAAUAAUUUUUCACAAAUAAAAAAAGAGUCUCGCCAAUCGAGUGGGGACGCAUGUGAAAAAUGCAGGUCCACAGAGAGGUUUCUUGAGGUGGACAAGGUCAGAAGCAAAGAGCCUUUCCCUACUUUUUGGGGUUGGUUCCUUGAGUUCUUAGGAAGAACUUAGUUAACGUGUGAAUUCAUUCAGGGUAAUUUAUGUAAGAUUUUCUAGAUUUUGCAAGUGAAUGCACCUUAGCUUUUCCUAUUGUAUUUGUGUUUUUUUAGGUUGAUUAUUUUAUUGAUUGUCACCACUCAAGGAAUGGAAGCAAUAGGGUCUCUAGAUGUAGUGCCUAAAGGCAAGCAUACAGGCGUUGUUAGGAGUGUGCUUCCCAUGUCCAACAAGCAUAUUGACACCACCCAAAGCCAAGGCAUCUUUGGACUAGGAGUUCUAGCUUCUACUUAUGUGGACUUUGUAGAUGCAGUCUGGCUCUUCGAAAUAUUUAUUGUUAUGUAGUAGUUAUACACAUGUACUUUGUUUAAGUGAAUUGAUUUUUGGAUUUUUACUUAAAUCAAAUUUAAGGGUAUGUUGUUUAAUUUACUAGAGAUCUCUUGUUUGUAAUUCUCGUUAUCAUAUAUAGAUCUUUGUUAGUAUUUGCCAAUUUCCUCAAUAGCAACUGUAUUAGUUAUCAAUGGAAUGAAUCUUGAGUAACUUGUAGUAUCAUUUUUGGUUUUGAAUUGGCUAAUCUUUUUUGGAAGAAUGAAUUAGAUAUAUGAGCUUGAUUGCAAGCAAUAGUUGAGUUUGUUUUGAUCUUGGGGUAUUUGCCUUAUUGAUAGGACAUAGAUUUUGGGUCCAAAUAGUUGGAAAUUGAUGAGCUUAACCAGGACAUAGAUUUUAUCCCCUUGGGAGAACCACAACACUAACCAGUGUUCCUACAAAAGCUAAUAACCAUGAUUUAGAAAUGUGAUUUCCCUAAAGGGAAGCAUUUCUAAUCUUAUUUGAAGGGAAACUUUGAUGUCUUCCUUAAUACACUAGAAUAUUAAUUUAAAAACAACAAUUAAGGUUAUAUUAACUAUUAUAAUAAUUUAUAAAUUACAUAAAUAUGAUAAUAACUAUUAAAAUAAAAGUAUUAAACAUAAAAAUGUUUAAUUCUGUUGGGUAAAAACUUCAUAAAUAUUUUAUUAUUGAACUUCUAUCAUAUGAUCAAACAUAGUGAUGAUCCUUAGUUGGAUUAAUUAACACUUGUUUCAUAAAUUGAACAACAUAUAACAUGAUCAAUAAACAAACAAGUAAACAUCAUACUAGAUAAAACUAUCUCUUAAGAUUUCAAUUAUUACAUGUUUAAAUUACAAAUCAUAUUUUUGCAACUUUCGUAAAGUUAUGCAAUAGAUAUAAUUAAAAUUAUGAAACAUUGAAAAUGUAUAUUGAUUCAUUAUUCAAAUUCAUCAUAUCAUAUAUAUACUUUAGUUGUCCAUAAGAUCAAAUAAUAACCAAAAUUCGAAAAAUAUGUUUUAUGAUCCAAAAUUGAUUGACACUAAUAUCAAUUGUUACAUAAACUUUAUGUGAAAUAAUUAUUUUGGAAAAUCAAUUUGGAUGCAUAAAGCAUAAUAGUUAUAAGAAAUAAAGAAAUGACAAAAUAAUAAUUAUAUUUUUGUCUUAAUCCAUGAUACCGAUAACACUUUUAAAGUGAGUUCGAGUCACUUUGUGAAUUGUUGGGUCAAGGUAUUCAACUCAUCAUUCUCAUUUAGUAGAUGAGACAAUUGUGUGGUAUAUGUUGUUAUAAGCAAAACAACUAAAAACAUAAGAAUACAAUACAACUUAGGACCUUAACUUUAAAAAAAGAUUUAUAACUCUUAAUCUUCUCAUAAAAGAUUAUAUGAGAGUUAUACUCAUUAUUUUUAAACAUUAUAUAUAAAUUAAUGGACAAUAGUAAACUACCAACUUGAAUACAUUCAUGUAAUUAUAUAAAUUACACUUUUUCAUCUUCCUCUAUUAGUCAUAAACUUUAUAUAUAAAUUAAAUCUCAUAAUGAUGGAGUUACAAAAGUUGUAAUACCAUAUUCGUAUAAAUGAAAAUUUUCUAACUCCAUAUUUAUAAUUUUAAUUUUCUAUGUUAGAAGUUGAAUUUGUUCCACAUCGCCAAGUUACCGGGUUAUUAUGUUGUUUAUAUAUGUGGAUUGGGCACCCUCUCCCUUUAAGCAAGCUUUUAGGGAUGAAUUAUAUUCAAACCCAUUUAACAUGGUAUCAGAGCUUGGUUUGACUGGGGGUCGUGGGUUCAAGCCACCUCUUCGCAAUUCGUAUGUUUGUUCCUCAUUUGCAUGUUUGAAAGUCUAGAAAAGGGUAUUUGCAUUUGUUUGUUUGUCCCUUCACGUGUGGAUAUGGGGCCACACAUAAGAUAUGGUGUUAAAAAGCAUGAAAUGUAUAUUGAACCCAAAUCUUAUAAGUUUAAGCUUUUAGGAAAAUUAGUAAUUCAACAUUCUAUACAUAAAAUUAUUUGAUGUCCAAUCAAUUGAUUCACCUACCUAUCAAUUAAUAUACUUUUAAAUAAAAUAUAUUUCAAUCCAUUACACAAAUAUAAUUAAAACAAAGUACUAUAAUAAUAUGAGUAUGUGACAAAUAAAUAAAAUAAAAAUAAUCACAUGUUACAUGUAAACUAUAUUCAAAGGAAAAACCACAAGUCAUCCCCACUAUUAAACAAUCCAUUGUAUAAUGAUCAAUUACAAAGACCAAGUAUUACCAAACUUAAAAGUAUCUAAAUCAUACUCACUUUGCACAUUUUCUUUAUACUUGGAUCCUUUAAACUCAUUUAUCCCAAUGUGGAAGCAUCUUGAGUUCUAAUCAAGGAAAUCAACCUUUACUUCAUCAAGUUAAAGUCUCUUUAUAUCAUUGACAACCAUAUCAAGAUUUCUUUUGUUGGUUGCUUUCAAAGUCCCACUAGAAUUAGAUUGAAAUUUUUAUAAUCUCUAGAACUUUAACAUAUUAAUUCUUCAAUGAGUCAAUCAAAUAUUAAGUUUUAUCUCCAUAGAUGGACCUCAAUGAAUUUUUCGACAAAGGUGUUAACACUAAUUUCAUAUUAGUAAAAAAAAAUCAUGUGACACAUAUUGAUAUAUAUAUAUAUAUACUAAUUUCAUAUUCAUAGAUUGAAUUCAUGAGAAAAUUAUUCUUAAUUUUGUAAAAAUUAUAUAUAUAAGAAAGUUUUUAGGCUUACUAAAACACAUUACUAACCAAGUGGCAAUAUAUUUAUAAUUUAGGUCUCAUUAUUUUGUAAUCAAGUUUCAUUCAUUUGUAUCAUAUAUGAGUCCUAUUAUGUCAUACCUUACUCUUAUUACAUUGUACUUUGAUCUUAUUUGUUUAAACAUCGAUUUCAUUUCUUUAUAUGUACAUCACAUUUAUUUAUAUCUCAAUCUUAAUUAUUUGUAUCUUUAUUUAACAGUUUAGAUUUCAUUACAUAUUUUUAAAAUUUUAAUUUGAAAUUCGAUAUCUUAGUAUUUUUCUAAAAUAGCUACCUAUAAUCCUUGUAGAGUACUCAAAAUUCACUCCAACCCAUAAAAAAAAAUGACCUCUCUUCGUAAGUUGCUAUACUCAUUGCUAAACUAUAAUUCCAAAAUUAGCAGAACUUUUCAUACUUAUUCUAGGCAAUUAGAGUUGAGAUGUUCCGGGCAUAUACCAUAUUCUUUCAAGAUUUGAAAGAAAUGUUACGAUUUCAGCAUUAAAUAAUGCAUGUCGAUUAACAAUAUUGCUCAGAUUCUUUAGGCAAAGGUCCACAGACAAAAAAAUUAUUUAUUUAUUUUCUGAACCACCCCUGAAAUUGACACCUCCCAUACAGUCUGAUCUGCAUUUCUGUGGCACUAUUUCCCUUAUUCCUAACCAUAAAUCUGCUGCCAUCUCAAUAAUUCACAUCCUUAUCCACUCCUUAUCUAGGGUUGUAACACUUUUUUCAAAAAGAUUUUUUUUUUUUUUUUUCGAAGGGGUGGAUAAGGGUCCUGAGACAAGCUGUGGUAUAAUUAUAAACCCACUUGGGUAAUGGUUUCAUUGUCAGGGUAAUUCUAUUUAAGGUGAAAAUCAGCUGGGUCUAUCAUUCUUGUUUCCAUGUGACUGUUUCCAAGGAGAACUCAACCCUCAAAUCCAUCGAGCAGUCAUAUAAAAAUACACGCAGAUUUCAUAUCUUGAAGCUUGUCCUGUGUUCAGAUCGGAUAACUCACUCAUAUGCCUAAUCACUAAUCGCCAACUUGAGUGUAAAAAAAGCGUGGGGCGAUAUUAUUUGUAUAUGGGUUUGACUGUUUGAGAGAGAAAGGUGGGGUGUCCCUUGGAGGAGUCCAAAGGCCAUUUUUGAACCUGCCUUUGAUUAUCGCCAUGGCAAAUCAACAGCUUGUAGUAUAUAUAUAUUAAUGGAGACCAAGACUCAAAUAGAGAGAGAGACGCGGGGAUGCGAUAAAGAGAACAGUAUAGCCAAGAGUAUAUAAGCAUUUCUCUUGCUGUAAUGGUGAUUCAGAGACUGGAAAUGUGUAUAUCACUGCUGAAAAUGGCAGUAGAGUUUGUGCUUGUUUUCGCGGAGGCAGUCGGGCUAGUCAUCAACCACAAUGCCACGCCGCUUUUGGCAAACUCAGCCUCAGUUGGCAAUGAUGUUUCUGUCCCUUUUAUCGGUUUUCUUCUUUGAAUUCUUCGUCUUGUAGUUUCCUUCCUUACCAGAAUGCUCAUUGGCCAUUGUAUAUGUUGAGGGUUCUUUUUUGCCUUGAUAGAUUUUCUAAAGGAUGUGCAUGUUUGAUAGGAGAGAGUAUAUAUACACAUCUAUGUAAACUUUGAUUAAAUUUUGUUCUGGGUGAGCUUCAUUUUCUGCAAAUUCAUUUGCUGAUAGCUUUGGAAACGAAUCUUCAGUUGUUUGGGUGCUGAUUAUUUGCUUGCUUCACACGAUUUUAUGUGCUGUUCCUUUGGUAAUAAUCUUGUUGGGUGGAUCAAGGAGAAGAGCGAAGAUCUGAGGGAAAAUAGAGUCUGGAGAAAGAAAAGAUGUAAUGAUGAUUAAGAAAGGCUUUAAUAUACUUGCAAGAUCAGGAAAAAAUAUUUCUUGGGUAUCAAUUAUUUUCUUGCUUGAUAUGGGUUUGAUACUCUUUUUCAAUUGGUGAUCAUUCUGGGAAGAUCAAGAAGAAGAAAAUGGGGUCUAGAUGAAGAAAAGCUAUAAUGGCGAUUAUUAAGUGGAAUCAGAUGAAAUAAAAGUCUGUUUCCAUCAUUCUUAAUAUGGUUUCUUUUGUCAAAAAUGGAAGAUGACUUGAUUUUCAUAGUCCCAGCAGGACUUUAGUACUCAUCAAACUCAUAAAUUUUGAACAACUUUGAGCUAACCUUCUGCAUUAAUUUGGUGCAUCUGCGCAGUUGCAGAGUAUGAACACCCACAAAAUCUUAAUAUGAAUCUUUUGGGGCAAUAGCUUCUAUAUAUGAUGGAUGAUAAGAACAAAGCAAAUCUUGGGUUCUCCAUGGGCACGAUCAUUUAUCCGCCAUAUAAAAUGCAGAUUUUCCUAACACCAACCCCUUAUUUUAAUAAAGUCAAGUUAUUUUAAGGCCCCCAAUAUUAGACAUGCCUUAGAAUCAUUGGGUCUGUGAUUAAAAAUGUAGUAAUAUCAUUUAAAAUACCUAACACUGAAAUUUUGAUAAUUUUGAAUGCCAUAGUGUGGAUUUGAAGAAAGAAAUCGCAUCCAAGAUCUCUUCCUUUUCCUGGGAAACAUUAGUCUUGGUCAAUUAUGAACUGUUACACGUUGCCUAUCAUGGUCAUAUUUAUAUUAGCUUUGAUUUCUAUGGGGGAUAUAAUUUAUUUGUAUGCUAAUCAUAGAGGUGAUACAUGUGAUCCACAUGUCAUAUUUGGACUUGGAAGCAAUCAUUGGAUUCCUUUGAUGAACUGGCAAUGGAAGAAUACUAAUUGCUCCGGUCCCUUUCUUUUUUCAAAGUAGGAUGAUCAGGUCCUUUGAUCCCUUCGACUCCCUCUGGCUGUUUUUCUUUGUUCUUUUUUCAAUCAUCCAUAGCUUAAAAUUAAAGCCUUGAUGCCCUCCUCGACUUUCCCAAGAUAAAACACCUUAUCUUCACUUUAUUUCUCUUCCCUUUAAAUUUGAUUUUAGAUCUGAAAUCCAGGGCUUAUGACCCUGUAGAAGAAAGACAGAUAUGAAGCUUGGGAUGAUUUGAACUUCAGUUUGAUUUUCUGCACACUCUGUUAAAACUCCUGAAAUAUAGUUGUAUAUUGCAAUACAUUUAAUUGUUUGAUACAUCUGAACUAUGAUGUUCUAUUAGUAAAAAUUUCUUUGAAUCAAUCCACGGCUCAAAGUACCAAUUUCUAUUGAAACUUUUUUUCUUUUCCUGCUCAUUCAAUUGUUUCAUUUUCCACAUAAUGGUAUGACAACAUCAAGAAUACUUCUCAGCAAUUGCCUGCAGGUGAACCCAAAGCUCUUUUGGCUUAGAGAUCAUGACCAUGUGAUCAGAUCCUUUAAUCUCUUUAACAGCAUCAGGUGGGUUUUUUUCAAUCAUCCAGAGUUGAAAAUCCCUUUUCCCCAGCUUGUCUUCCUCUGAAAUAAUAAAGACACGUUUAACCGAGGCAUAUUUCUUCGACAACAUGAGCUCAUUUGACAUGUCUUCUUCAAUGAACAAGCGUACGGGUCUCAUCAACACAGUCCCUAGUGCCAAGUCCUGGAAUAUUUGUGCCCGAAAUGAUAUGACAACAACAAUGAAGGUCUCAUGAUUUUGGUUGUAAGGCCUUAAUAAAUGGAGUUCUCACCUCAGUUGGGCUCAACUGAUACACAUUCAGUGAUAAGAACAAGGGGCCAAAGCUGAAAGUGGUGGGAGGAUUGUUGGGGCCAUUAUCAUAUGUGAACUGGCUGUCUAGUAGAGGACCUUGUCUCCUGAGUGACUUCAAUAAGAAGUAGAAACCAGGCUAAAAGUCAGAAACAGGGGAAGCCUUCCCCUCUUAAUCAGCAAGUAAAUUUCUGUAAAAGAAAAAUAGUAUGUAUGAAGUACCUCUUGAUUGAGAGUGGAAAUGUUGAGAGUGGGACCAGGCAUUGAGGCAGUAACAAAAACAGCUACAGAAACCUUUUCUGGGAACUUCUCCAUGGCCUGAGAAAUGGCCAAUCCACCCAAGCUGUGUCCAACGAGAACCACCCUCUCAUCUGCAGGGAGUGACUCCACGAAGUCCCUCAGUGGCUGGAAAUACCAAGAAAUUGAUCGCAGAUCACCCACUUGUUUUGGGUUAAUUCCAGAAGCAGCCAAGUCCAGAGCAGUAACUUUGUGGCCAGAUGAUUUUAGUAGUGCCACAAUCUUGUACCAAGACCAGGCACCAUGGCAAGACCCAUGAACUAGAACAAAGUGCUUGACGGGAUUAGCCUGUCUCCCCUCUGAUGCCAUUGGAUACACUGAAGAAACAAGAAAAAUCAGAAAGGAAACAAAAAUCAUAUGCUUCUUCCUUGCUUCCAUACUCCUUUCCUGUUACAGAGAUGGUCAGCACCCCAGCAUUUUAAAGGGCACAAUUGGGUAGGUUUUCACUACAACUACUAAUCUAAUUGAUUAAAAAUUUUCCCGUGAAAUUGACUCUAGAAAUAAAAUAAGGACUAAGGAUUCAAGAACACGUACACUUUGACUGCCAGAGUUUAUGUCUUUUCAUAGAUGACACAUGCACCUGCGUCACACUCUUUUUCAAUGAUAAAGAAGUUAUGCAAAGGAAGAAAGAAUGAAAUAUACAGAGUCAAGUAGUUAACUCCUCCCCUUGAAUUCUUCUCUUGCCCGGAUUGGUUUGUAACUGCAAACAUUUUCUUUUCCCAAUGUGAUCUGUGGAUUGAGUUCUGAUCUCAAUUUGUUUUUGGCAUUUUUGGUUUUGCUUCUGCAAAUCUUGAGAUGUAUCUUUCAAUUAAUAUAAGUUGUGCAGUUAAGGUUUUUGGACAUAUAAAAUGUUAGCCAAACCUUUCCCGUGGCAGGUUGAAGGUACUUUGGGGUAGGCUUGGUCAUGCUUGAUACCUCAGUCUGACUCAAACAUGAUGUUUUCACCCAUUUGAAUUGAUCAAAGUUGUGUUGACUGGCAUGAUUCCUUUAAUAAAGAAGUUGUUUUAGGAUUAAGGCGUACAACACAAAUUUGACUUAAGUAGAUCUAUUUAAUUAUUGUGUAUUAACAUAAUUAUAAUCAAUUGAGUCGAAAAUGAAUUAAAUUAAAAAGUUAAUUUUAUUGAUUUAAAUAAGACCUAAUUCAACCUGAUUAUUAAAUUACUCAACUUAUUAUAUGAUUUGAACACUGCCCACCAACAUUAAUUGUAACCCGUGCUUUGAGUUCAGGUGGCAGCAAGAGUUUGGCCUUUGUUUUGAGUGUUGGAUGAAUGUUGGAUUAACCUUUCCCAUGGCUGUCAAAUUCCUCAUAAAUUAUUGGUGAUUGUAAUAAUUUCCUCAAAAAGUAAUGGUGCUAUAUGCUUCUUUAGGAUCCAUUGAUCUUAAUAAUUCUCUUCCUGGUAUAGGAAGAAAGUGACUAUUCCAUUACUGCAGCUUUCAUUGCUGCUUAUUUAUCAAGCAAAUUACAUUAUUAUUUUCACACCAAAUCUCCAAAUUCACCAUGUACUUAUCCUAUAUACUGCAUGGUGAACUUCAGAGAGCUAAAACAAGCUCUUAUUGAAUACAUGAUAGAUGAUGUCCCACUGACCCUUUUACUCUGAUACCUUGAAAUGAGAAAUUUGGAGGUUUUCCACAUCAAGCUUCUUGAAAUUACUGCGCCUUCUCGCAGCAAAGAACUUUCCCCAGUUGUAUGCUCUGUACUUUGGCUUUUCUCCCUUCGUCAGCUCCUCCAAGGGCUUCACCCAAACAUGGUGCCCGGGACUGAAAAAGACCGGAAUUGAGAACCUUUCCCUCUCUGAAUUCACCGUCACCCUGUGCUCGACACUUUCAUAAGUAUCGUUGCUCCAGACCUGGUUUAAUAUCAGUAUAAUUAGCCAAAAGGGUGCAAAAUUUCUUGAUCCCAACAGUACUGAUAAGCAUGUACUUAUAAUUCAAAGUUCUUGGGUGGUACCUGAAUUAUAUCCCCAACAUUGAUGAUAAAAGCAUCUGGGGUGGGCUUAACUCGAACCCAUUCUCCAUUGGUUUUUCGCUUUACUUCCAACCCUCCAACAUCAUCCUGGGCAAGGAUGGUUAAGGCUCUGGAAUCCUUGUGGCGACCAACGCCCAAAGCUAGGUGAGGGAUGGGGCAAGGUGGGUAGUGAUUGAGGCGGAUGAAGUUUGUUGAUUCUUCAAAGAGAAUAUUGAAUCUGUUUUCUGGCAAACCUAAGCUUAGUGAGAUGAGUCCUAACAGCUUGAAAGCUAGUUUUCCCAUUUCUCUAGCAUAUUCUUCACAUACCUCCCUGUAUUAAUCAGUUCAAUUAGAACAAAAAAAAAAAAGUAAUUCACUGUAGUGACUGUGCCUUAACUGGUGAAACUUGUACCUUAAUUCAGGAGGGUACUGAGGCCACUGAUUGGUCAGCUCUUUGAGCUCCUUGUCGUCAGGAUCAGGCGAAGCAGGGAUGAAGGCGGGGGUAGGCACCACGAAAUCAAAGACUUCCUUCCAGUCCCUAACGUUCUUGGUAUGCUCAGUAUCAAAGUACCCCAAAGGAUUCACCUCAUCUCUACUCACCUUCCUCUUCUCCUCCAGUGGGAGAGCGAAGAACUUCCUCGCGGCAUCCUCAAUUUUACGACGAGACUCCGAGGGCACCCCAUGGUUGAUGACUUGAAAGAAGCCCCAGUUCUUGCAUGCAUCAGCUAUUUGAGAAACAUGGUUGGAAGCAUUGGCGGAAGAGAGAUCAAUGAGGGGGAUGCCUUCAGCUUCGAUAACAGCGAGCUCAGGCCUGUGUUGGGUGUCUUGGAUGAAGGCUGGAUCGACCUCUCCCAUGGCUGUGGUAGUGGUUAGAACUUAGAACUCAGAAAUGGUGGUUAUGCACUGCUAGUGUUAGCUGCAGGUGAAGAUGGUGACGGGGAUUUGGCCACUUGGCAGGUGGUUUAGUACAUUGAACCUGGACAUAAAUUGGGUUACGUUUUAAGUUUUGGUUGGGGGUGUGAGCUCACGGGUUGCGCAUAUGUUAAUGAUAAUUGUUCAAGUGAUUUUACCGACAUAAAACAAAAUCUGCCGCCCCAAAGGAAUCUCUCUCAAUGAUUUUACCGACAGCACUCUCCACAUUCAAAUGUUUCAUCCGUAUUUGAAUUGGAGUCUAAUACUCUCAUUGUUUAAUUAACUCCAGCUUGAUUAAUGAAUCCAGUGGUGUCGUGUAUAUUUUCGAAUUCUCUGCUUUAUAUUUAAACCUUCUUGGUUUUUAUGUUCUCAUCCAAUGGUUUAAAACCCAAAAACGAUGCAAAGAGAAAAAGAGAAAAAAAAAAAUAUACAACACAAUUGGAAUUAAAAUAUAUGUAAUAAAAAAAAUAAAAACUAAUUCAUUUUGAGUUUUAUUUUUCAAAAUAAUAACUCUAAUAUAAUAACUAAAUAAAUAAACAUAUAGUAAUUAAAUACAUAAUAACUAAAUAUAUUAAUGUCUUCUCAUAAUUGAGACUUUACAACAUAUACUCAAUUUUUAAACAAUUCUAAAAAAAUAAGUGAAAAUAAUUAAAAAUACUUAAAAUAUGUUACCAACAAAUACCUUAUUGUCCUAACAAAUCUCAAAAACCUUAUUUAGGACCAAUUGAAAAUCAAAAAAAAAUUCAUAUUUCUUUACUCUUGAAAAAAAAAAAUGGUUCUUGAUGACAGUCUCAAACAUAUCCUCCCAUUUGGUUAUUUUAUUGUAUAAGUUUUUCAAUAAAAUAAAAUAAUUAAUGAUAGUGUUUGUAAGGAAAAAUCAAAAUAUCAUACAAAAUUAAUACACAUCUUUUUAUUAUUCAAUAUUUCUAUAUCAUAUUUACAUUUUUUUUUAUAAAAAAAUUAUAUAUAUACAAUGUUUUAAAAACCGGAUCGGAUCGGCCGAUCCAACCGAUGACCGGUCACAUUUUCGGUCCGAUCCACUCUAUUAAACCGUUUAACUAUUGGAUCGGUUACGAACCGCCUAAACCAACGGUCAAACUGGUGAACCGAACAGUCCAUAUUGGCCCAUCAUUUUGCAAGUCCAUUGUAUAAAAAAUUAAAAGUUGUAGGCCAAAAACCAUACUAGGCCAUGUCUUAACAUGACAAAGCCCGCACCCAAACCAUUUAAGUAGGCUCAGUUUUGAGCCCACAAGGUGGGCAUGCUGUUGCUUUCAAUGAGGAUACUUUUUAUAGGCAUCCUUUGCACCCUUAUUUCUCUCACAAUCCGAUGUGGGAUUGCAAACUAAUAUGAUAAUAUCAAUGAAAAAAAUUUAACAAAUGCAACAAGAGGGAGGAUUUGAAGUGGGACCUCAGGUUUUGUAAAUAAACUAGGACACCACUCGGCUACUUAUUUGAUAUGCCAAACAAAACAAUAUAUGUUGGAUUUUAAUUUUUUUUUAAUAUUAAAUAAAAAUAAUAUAAUAUUUUUAAAAAUUAUAAAAUUAGUUAAAUUUUUCAUUUUGAAUAUAUUCACAUUUAAAUAUUGUACACAUUUCAUUUAAUAUGAUUUAAUUUGAUAAUAUCAAAUAUAUAAAAUAAUAUUAUUGAUUUUUAAUUUAUUCAUAUAUAUUUUAAAAUUUUUAUAAUUAUUUUUAAUUUUAAUAAUAUAUAAAUUACAUAUUUAUGACGUCAUCGGUUCGACCGCGGUUCGACCAUCGAUUCGACCGCGGUUUGAUCGGUAAACCGUGAACCGGUAACUUUUUCGAUUCAAUGACCCAUCCGGUUCUGAAAACAUUGUAUAUAUACAUAAUUUUAUCAUUUUUUUAAGUUAUAUUUAAAAUUUUCAUAUAUUUAAUCAAUUUACUAAUAUCAAUAUUUCCUUACAUAUUUUAAUAGUCGUAACCAUACAAAAGAUUGUCAAAUUAAAGGAAACAACACAUGAAAUGAGGAUGUGGAAAAAAAAAACACGAUAACAACGAAAUCAUGAUUUGUUUUUUAUUAUUCAAUAUUAUUAUAUCAUAUUUACAUUUUUUUUAUAAAAAAAUUAUAUAUAUACAUAAUUUUAUCAUUUUUUUUAAGUUAUAUCUAAAGUUUUCAUAUAUUUAAUCAAUUUACCGAUAUCAAUAUUUCCUUACAUAUUUUAAUAGUCGUAACCAUACAAAAGAUUGUCAAAUUAAAGGAAACAACACAUGAAAUGAGGAUGUGGAAAAAAAAAACACAAUAACGACGAAAUCAUGAUUUGUUUAAGGCGAAGGAAAUAAUAGUGAGAUAGACAAAGCUUAUAAUAACAAAGUACUGACAUUAUUAAUAUGUGGAAUUUGGUUUUCAGUUUUUUUUUAGAUUUUUAUAUAUUAUAUCUAUAAAUCUUAAUUCAAAUCUAAGUAAUACUUAAUAGAACUAUGAUGUUUGUUUUUUUUUUUUUUUUGUUUCUUUUAUCUAAAUCUUAAAGCAAUUUGCUUAAAAAUUGAAAUCAUUUUUAAAAUUAUUUGUUUAUUUCAUUUUAAUAGGAAAAAUAAAUAAUUUUACUUUUAACUAUGUAUACCUUAGUGAUGGGAUCAAAUUCCCAACGCAAUCAGUUUGAAUAACAACAUAUGAUUGAAGACGAUCAUCGCUAAAAGCUCUAUAUUCCCCAACCCAAUCAGUUUGAGCUCAAAACCAAGCUGCAAUUCAACCUAGUUUUGCAAUGGAUUGCAUCAGAUUUGUUUCCAAGAAGAUAAAAAUAAAACGAAACUUGGAAUAAGCAUCAAUGAAGUGAAUGUGAAACUGAUAGCCAAUAGAGGAUUGUGUAUUUGACACUCCCCAAAAAUCUGACUGCAUUAAUUUGGAGCAGUUCCGUAUAUUGAGUUGCAGAUAAUGGAAAUGGGAAUUCAUGGAUUUUGCCCAGACAACAUGUUGAAUUGAAACUACUCAAUUCAACAGAAAAGAAGCUACCAUGAUGGAGGUUGAGGAGUACUCCAUUGUUGGCAGUGGAGGCUCUCAUACCGUCUGAAGAAGCUAAACCAAAAGAAAUUCCAGCAGAAAAGAAAUGCUUUUUCCCUCAUCUAAAUAAUUGAUUACAAAAUUCUAUACAUAGCUAAUUGUAGAACAAACUUUAAUUAUCUGGAACUGUGAUAACAAACUACUAAUUGGGUCAACCAACUCUCUUGGCAUGAUUUAUUUAGAGUCCAACACCAUGAUUUUUCAGGGACUAAAAGUGGAAAAUGGUCUUACAACAUCAUUGUUCGGAAACUCUGAAAUGAUGAAUCUGAAUGUUUUCGACAGUUUGCUUCUUGAAAUCACUCCUGUUUCUAGUUGCCAUGAACUUUCCCCAGUUGUACUCUUUAAAUUUAGGGGGGUUUUCCUCAUUGGUCAACUCCUCCAAUGGCUUCACAUUCACAUGAUGCACCGGUAAGAAAAAGAAUGGAAUCGAAAACCUUUCCUUCUCACUAUUCGCCACCACCAUGUGCUCCACGCUCUCAUAUUUAUCAUUGCUCCAAACCUGUAUAGUGUUGGAUAAAUAUUGAGAAAAAGUAACACCAAUUUCUCCAACAUGUUUUUCUUUUUUUUUAAAUAAUAAUAAUAAGAUACAAUAUAUAAGACCUAGCUAUUAUAAUACCUAUAAAAAAAACUCAAACCAAUCACAACAUGUCAUGUAUAUAAUUAAGUUUAUUUACUUCGUAUAUGAUUUCAUUUUUCUAGAUCUAGUCUCGAUACUUUUAUCCCUAUCCAAUGCUCUAGAUUUUAUCCUAUACUUUUGAGGAGGUUUUGAAUUGAUAACCUACAAUUUUCCAAUGUGUACAAAUGAAAUUGAAGUCAUUUGAUGGAUCAUACCUGAAUAAUAUCACCAACAUCAAUGAUAUAAGCAUUUGGAAUAGGCUUUACUCCAAUCCAUUCACCAUCAACUUUUCCCUUCACUUCCAACCCUGUGACACCAUCUUGAAAGAGAACGGUUAAAGCUUUGGCGUCCUUGUACCGACCCACAACGAGAGAGCUUCGGCCACGAGAACGGCGGAGAGUGAUAAUUGAGUCGGAUUAAGCUGGUUUGCCAUUGGAAUAACUCAUUCAACUAGUCCCCGGCCAAGCCUAAGCUUAAGAAGAUGAGUUCUAAGAACUUGUUGGCUAAUUUUUCUAUUUCUCCAACAUAUUCUUUCCAAAUUUUCAUGAAAAUAAGUCAUUAUAUAAAAUAUAUCAAUACUCAAAAUGAAUUUAAUAAAAUCUUGCCAUGCCUUUACGUCUCUAUUUGAGUUUGUUUGCCUUUGAGUUGUGCCUUUACGUCUCUACUUGAGUUUGAUCGACUUUGAGUCGCAUUUUUAUGCCUCUAGUUGAGUCUAUUUAGCUUCAAGUCGUGCCUUAACAGUUCGAGUUUAGUCUAUUCGGCUUCAAACCGCACUUUUACAUCUCUUUCAUCUUUGAGCCACGUAUUUAUGUCUCUAGUUGAUUUUGUUUGACUUUAAGCUGCACCUCAUGCCUUUAGUUGAGUCUGUUCAGCUUCUAGUCGUGCAUCUAUAUUUCAAGUUGAGUUUAUUUGGCUUCAAGUUGUGUCUUUACGUUUCAAGUUGAAUCUAUUUGGCUUCAAGUUGAAUCUAUUUGGUUUCAAGUCGCACCUUUACAUCUCUAGUUGAGUCAGUUCAACUUUGACCCACGUCUUUACAUUUCUUGUUGAGUUUGUUCAACUUCAAGUCAUGCUUUUAUGUCUCUAGUUGAGUUUGUUUAGUUUCAAGCCACAGCUCUACAUCUCUAGCUGAGUCUAUUCUGCUUCAAAACAUGCCUUACAUUUCAAGUUGAGUCUAUUCGGCUUCAAGUUGCGCUUUUGCAUCUCUAAUUGAGUCUAUUCGACAUUGAGCUACGCCUUUACUUUUCAAGUUAAGUCUAUUUAGCUUCGAGCAACGCCUUUAUAUUUGGAGUUGAGUCUGUUAGGUUUCAAGCUACGCUUUUACAUCUCUAGUUGAGUCUAUUCGACUUUGAGUCAUGCCUUUAUGUUUUGAGUUGAGUUUAUUCAACUUUGAGUUACAUUUUUGCGUCUCUAGUUUAGCAUGUUCAACUUGAAGCAAUGUCUUAACGUUUCAAGUUGAGUUUGUUCGGCUUUGAGUUGCGCCUUUACGUCUCUAGUUGAGUUCGGCUUCGAGUUGUGCCUUUUUGUUUCGAGUUGAGUUUGUCUUAACUUUGAGUCACACCUUUACGUCUCUAAUUGAGUUUGAUUGGCUUCAAGCUGCGUCUUUAUGUUUCAAGUUGAGUUUGUUCGGCUUCAAGUCGUAGCUUCAAGUCAUGCCUUUAUGUCUCUAUUUGAGUAUGUCUGGCUUCAAGCCACGUCUUUAUGUUUUGAGUUGAGUUUGUUAGGCUUUGAGUUGCACCUUUACGUUUCGGGUUGAGUUUGUUCAGCUUUGAGUCACAUUUUUAUAUAUCUAGUUGAGUUUAUUCGACUUCGAGCCACACCUUUGAGUUUCAAGUUGAGUCUAUUCGGCUUCAAACCACACUUUUACGUAUCUUGUUAAGUCCUAUUCAGCUUCGUGCUAUGCCUUUACAUUUCUUGUUGAGUUUGUUCAGCUUUGAGUAUCGUCUUUAUCCUUAUUAAGUUCAUUCGGCUUUAGUCGUGCCUUCACCCUUAUCCUUAGUUUUGAGCCUAUUUGACUUCAAGCCAUGCGUUUGUCCUUGUUAAGUUUAUUCGGCUUCAAGUCGCCUCCUAGUUUUAAGUUUGUUUGGCCUCAAGCCGCACAUUCCCCUCUAUUUGAGUUCAUUUAGAAUUUUCCCCUUCCUCGAGUUUAUUAUGACAUUCUCUUCCUUCAAUAUCAUUUUUUGUGAGUUAAUCACUUCUUAUCUUGGUUGUCCUUGAGUUGUAUGUUGUGUCACGAUCUAGUGUUGUUCAUUGCAUAUACACUCCCCACAUUAUUUGUAUCUUUAUCUUAAGUUUCUUCCUUAGUAUGUGAUCCUGAUCUUUGAGCUUAGCAUGCCAUGUGUUAUGAAAAAAUUAUGAGUUCUCUUUUGUUCUUCAAUGCAAUUCACUUCAUACCAUUCAUCACUCAUGUUUCACUCUUCGUGUUCAGUUCACUCAUGAACUAUAUCAAAUAAGGGCAUAUUUAUAGACCCUCCAUUUUGUCUCAUAGCACGUAUGUUUGCAUUUUUUAUUUUCCUCUCGCCCCAUGCCCAUUUUAAUUUGGUGUCCGUUUGGAUACUUCUUGCUUAAUCAUUCAUCAUCCCUUAUUAGUUCACAUUUACUUGGCUCAUUAAUCAUUUUUUAGCCACAUUUUGGAGGCCAUUUAGGGCGAUUUUGGGUCUAAGCUUUUUUUUUUUAGAGGCUCUCAGUAGAUGGCUCAUAAUGAGGACACGUGUUUUUAAAGGGGUCUUCUAGAGGCUUCUAGGGUCAGUUGGGAGAGCACGUUCUUAUUUAUAUAUCUAUUGUUUUGGAGGUGAGUUGUACACCAAGAGAAUGAGGGAGUAGAUGGAGGUUUUUUAAACAUUGUAAGAGGAGAUUCGUUUUGAUUGGCAUUUAUACCAAUAAAAUCUUGGGAUUACUGAGAACUCAACGGGACCUUCCCUCUCAAAUCAUACAAACUUGGCCAAAGAGGGGUGGGUACCAUUGAGUUCUUAGGCUUUCAUGUCGAUAACUCAAUUCAUCUUAUUACUAAAGGGAUGAACCCAAUCCGGAAUAUGAACCAAAAAAGAAAAUGUCUAUUAAAUUGAUGACAGGAAUACCAGUUACAGUAGCUAUUAGCCAAAAGGAAUCCUUCCAAGUUGGAGGUGGUUAGAGAGAGAGAAGGCUGGGCGAGAGAGAGAGACACGUAAAGAGAAUAUUCUCUCUGGUGAGGGUUUGUUAGACGGGAAGCAAGAAGCUUGAGGGUAGAGAGGACAAUCAGAGGAGGAGUUUGGAGGAAGAGG